rnacentral:lncRNA from 1 species
UUUUUUUUGUUUUUUUUUCUAAAGUUUUUCAAACACGCAAGAGAAAGCAAGAAAAUAAAUCUGAACAUGAAUGAUACAAUGAAAAAGUGUGAGCACCGACAAAUAGAAUGAUAUGCGUGAACAUGAAUAUAAUGUCGGUGAGAAACAUAUACUCCCCCAAGCUUAGGCUUUUGGCCUAACUUGGUACUCGAUCAGUAGCCUGGAGGGUAGUAGGGAUCCUGAGGAGCGGGCAUCCACUCAUCCCACUGCGGAGGUGCCUGGUGUGCUGCCUCAGCAGCAGUCUGAGCGUUCCGGUAGGCGAUGUUGUCUGCAGACAUGAUCCUAUAUCCGCCCCUGGCAACAGAAUCAAACAAAGCAGGAGCAGGCAAUGGAAUAACAUCACGAGUCCUCACACUAAAAACCAGGUUAUACGGAAUAGGGAUGUGAGGGGAUUUGAUAUUAGUAAAAUGGUGGUGAUCCAUGGCUGCACAGUCUAGGUAAACUAUGGUAAGAGGGAAAUCAUGCGGGCGUAUCUCAACCUCGAAGUGAGCUGCCAACCGAGUAGCAAAAAUCCCACCAUGUAUUUUACCCUGGGAUUUAUUAAGGUGCAGGUGAUGAGCCAUGAUAGCUCCCUAGCUAUACGUAUUGUCGCCCUCCAGUGCACGACGUAAAACAGCAAGGUCCGGUGAACUAAGUGCACCCACCUUCUCCCUAGCAAGCAAGCAUUUGGUAAUAAAAAGUGCAAAGUAACGAACAAUAGGAAAAUGUAAGCCAGCAGCAGUGAUGGCCGACACUCUUCUCUCAUCACCCACUGUCAAAGUGCGACAAAAAUCCUCAAACUCGGCUGGCCUAGGCUCAGCCAAGCUCCCAUCAGACGGGAUCAUGCAUAUGUCACAAAAUUCAGUAAGCGGUGCUGACGGUUUUCAACAUAUAAAUCAAAGCUCACUUCAGGAGGAUUAUUUCUAGGCAAGAAAGUAAAGCUUUGAAAUCUCUUGCACAGGGAAACAUGCACCCAGGGACACAUAUGAUUUUGCAACCCAUUUUGGUGCACAUGUAGCUCAAAUUUGAUUUUUGCACAUUAAAUCCCUAGGAAAUCGAUCAAUGUAUAAAAACGGUCGAAUGAUGUCUGUUUUUCUAAAUAACACGACACUCCGCCUCUUGUCACAUGUUCACUGUAGAAAAAGUUUGACAUGCCUCAGAGUGGCUGUGGUGGUGCGGGAUGUGUGUGUCUGUUUGUGUGGGGGGUGAGGGGAGGAGUUCGGCAGUACACUACGAGUCGUUAACCUCCGUGUGGGAUUAUUGAUCAUUUUGUGAGUCAUAUAUGCCACAUCAAAGUCGUGAAUUGGUUAUCUAAAGCAUUACACAGCCCUUUCAUACAUAAUGUUCGGGCCACAUGCAUGCAUUGGUGGUCCUCUCAAACACUCUUCCUCGUGCGGUUAUCAGCGAUGUGCCCAUUCGUUAGCCCGCAAAGGUUUUUAGUUUCCACCGACAACGAGAGGCAUUAAUUUGACCAAAAGGUGGAUUCAUAUUGGCAUGUGUGUGGUGUGGAUCAUGGUGGGAUUCCAUAUGAAAGUUCGAGCACGUGCGUACACACUCCCGCCGACUUGAAGUGAGGGGGCUACAUGCAUCCUGGUGUAGUGCGCUUCCAGUUUGCGAAGCAUGUGCCACGUCAAAGUUGUGCAUUGGGUAUUCAAACAUCAUAUAACACACGGGCGCAUCCACGCAGUGGUUUUGUCCUAUGACAUCGCUCGCGUGUGCCUCUCUCUGUUGGCCCACGAAGUCGUCGUCGACCAGUUGAACAUACAACGAGAGAUAGGCUAAUUUGACCAGCAAGGAUGGUUCUUUUUUCGUUUGUGUUAUGUAUAUGCAUGGUAUAGGAGUAUGUACAUGUCAAAGAGGAGGAAACAUGAAUACUCUCUAUAUACACGUGUCAUAACCUCGCUCCAUGUGGGGACUUUUCGGUUCCCAAGGCAGGUUCCGCUUCAAAGUUGCACAUUGUAUUGGUAUUCAAACAUCAUGCAAUAUCAUGCAGGCGGUGGUUGCCCUAUAUAUUGGAACUCACUCGUGUGUGACACUUACAUCCAUUGGCAUGCAAGGUUGUCCUCCAUCACUUGGACCCAAUGAGAGAGAGGUUAAUUUGAUCAUCAAGGAAUGAUUCUUUUUUGGUUAUUGCUAUAUAGUAGAAGUACAUAUAUACCACGCGUCGAAUGGGGGCGUACAUAUAGCACAUGCCAUGCGUCAUGAACCUCGCGCUCUCUGCAGGGACUUUUUGGUUUCCUAUAUACGUGGUGCCACAUCAAAAUUGUGCAUUGCAUAUUAAAACAUCACACAAAUAGCUCUUUGGGCCACAUGCAUGCAGACGGUGGUACGUAGUCCUAUAUAGGAUGAUCACUCGCGUGCGACGUACGCUUCGCUUCUGUGUUGGGCCAGCGAGUUCGUCGUCCAUCACUUUGACCAAGUGAGGAGAGGUAUGCGUUUGAUGAACAAGGAGGAUUAAUUCUUUUAGGGCUGUGUUACUAGGUGUAUAUAUAGUACAUGUCGAGGGGGUGACUAGCUUGGUCCAUCACUUUCACCGACAGCGCGAGAGAGGUUAACUAAUUUGACUUAGGAGGGGAUUAAUUUUUUGUUUUGUCUUGAUAUAGAUCAUGAUGUGAGAUUACAUAUAUAUAUAUAUAUAUAUAUAUAUAUAUAUAUAUAAUAGCGCAUUUGUACACAUGAAUCCAUCCCGCUGGAUCGAAGGGGGGGGGAGCACACGACACGUCAUGAACGACCUCUUGCUCUGUGUGGGGGCCUCUGCGAUUUUCAACGCAUGCACCACAUCAAUGUUUUGCAUUGGGUCGGGUAUUCAACAUAUAUACAUGCACUCCAUCAACAUGUUUGGGACACACGCAUGCAAUAAUGGUUGUCUUUGGACACAUUCUCACUCGCCUGGUUAUGGGCAGCAAGCCUAUAUAUAUUCGUGGGCCCGCAUGGAUGUCCAUCAUUUUGACCAACGACGAGAAAGGUUACCAGGGUGGAUAUAUUCUUCUUCUUUGCUUUGAGUUACCGUAUAGUAGGUCGACCCAUUCCAAGCCUAAUUAAGUGAUGUCGCUUGAAGCUACGUCGGUAUUUCCCCAAAGAGUAAGGAAUGAUGCAGCACAGCGACUGUAGGUAUUUCCCUCCGAUAUGAAACCAAGGUUAUCGAACCAGUAGGAGAACCAAGCAACACAACAUAAACAACCCCUGCACACAGAUAACAAAUCCUCACAACCCGACGUGUUAAAGGGGUUGUCAAUCCCUUCCGGGGUACGGCGCCUCAAGAUAGGCAAACAGACGUGAGAUAAAUUGUAGUAGAUUGAUAGAUCGAACGCCAAAUAAAAUAAAUAGAAAUAAAACGCAGCAAGAUAUUUUUGUAUUUUUAGUUUAAUAGAUCUGAAAAUAAAUGCAAGAGAAAAGUAGAUCGCAAAGGCAAAUAUAUGAGAAAGAAGACCCGGGGGCCGUAGGUUUCACUAGUGGUUUCUCUCGAGAAAAAUAGCAAACGGCGGGUGAACAAAUUACUGUUGGGCAAUUGAGAGAACUUCAAAUAGUUAUGACGAUAUCCAAGCAAUGAUCAUAAAAUAGGCAUCACGUCCAAGAUUAGUAGACUGACUCCUGCCUGCAUCUACUACUAUUACUCCACACAUCGACCGCUAUCCAGCAUGCAUCUAGUGUAUUAAGUUCAUAGAAAAACGGUAAUGCAAUAAGAACGAUGACAUGAUGUAGACAAGAUCUAUCUAUGUAGAGAUAGACCCCAUCGUUUUAUCCUUAGUAGCAAUAAUACAUACGUGUUGUUUCCCUUUCUGUCACUAGGAUCAAGCACCGUAAGAUUGAACCCACUACAAAGCACCUCUUCCCAUUCCAAGAUAAAUAGAUCAAGUUGGCCAAACAAAACCCAAAUAUCGGAGAGGAAAUACGAGGCUAUAAGCAAUCAUGCAUAUAAGAGAUCAAAGAAACUCAAAUAACUUUCAUGGAUAUAAAAAGAUAGAUCUGAUCAUAAACUCAAAGUUCAUCGAUCCCAACAAACACACCGCAAAAGAGAUACAUCAUAUGGAUCUCCAAGAGACCAUUGUAUUGAGAAUUCAGCGAGAGAGAGGAAGCCAUCUAGCUACUGACUACGGACCUGAAGGUCUACAAAGAACUACUCAUGCAUCAUCGGAGUGGCACCAACGGAGGUGGUGAACCCCAUCCGAGAUGGUGUCUAGAUUGGAUCUGGUGGUUCUGGACUCUGCGGUGGCUAGAUGAAUAUUUCGUCGACUCCCCUAGGGUUUCUGGAAUAUUGGGGUAUUUACAGAGCGAAGAGGCGAUCUGGGGGGCACCCAAGGUGGGCACAACCCACCAGGGUGUGCCUGGGCUGAUGACCCACAAGUAUAGGGGAUUUAUCGUAGUCCUUUUGAUAAGUAAGAGUGUCGAACCCAACGAGGAGCGGAAGGAAAUGAUAAGCAGUUUUCAGCAAGGUAUUCUCUACAAGCACUGAAAUUAUAGGUAACAGAUAGUUUUGUGAUAAGAUAAUUUGUAACGAGCAACAAGUAACAAAAGUAAAUAAAGUGCAGCAAGGUGGCCCAAUCCUUUUUGUAGCAAAGGACAAGCCAGGACAAACUCUUAUAUAGAGAAAAGCGCUCCCGAGGACACAUGGAAAUUAUCGUCAAGCUAGUUUUCAUCACGUUCAUAUGAUUCGCGUUCGGUACUUUGAUAAUUUGAUAUGUGGGUGGACCGGUGCUUGGGUGUUGUCCUUACUUGGACAAGCAUCCCACUUAUGAUUAACCCCUAUUGCAAGCAUCCGCAACUACAAAAGAAGUAUUAAGGUAAACCUAACCAUAGCAUGAAACAUGUGGAUCCAAAUUAGCCCCUUACGAAGCAACGCAUAAACUAGGGUUUAAGCUUCUGUCACUCUAGCAACCCAUCAUCUACUUAUUACAUCCCAAUGCCUUCCUCUAGGCCCAAAUAAUGGUGAAGUGUCAUGUAGUCGACGUUCACAUAACACCACUAAAGGAGAGACAACAUACAUCUCAUCAAAAUAUCGAACGAAUACCAAAUUCACAUGACUACUAAUAGCAAGACUUCUCCCAUGUCCUCAGGAACAAACGUAACUACUCACAAAGCAUAUUCAUGUUCAUAAUCAGAGGAGUAUUAAUAUGCAUAAAGGAUCUGAACAUAUGAUCUUCCACCAAAUAAACCAACUAGCAUAAACUACAAGGAGUAAUCAACACUACUAGCAACCUACAGGUACCAAUCCCAGACUAUGAGACGAGAAUUGGAUAUAAGAGAUGAACUUGGGUUUGAGAGGAGAUGGUGCUCGUGAAGAUGUUGAUGGAGAUUGGCCUCUCCCGAUGAGAGGAGCGUUGGUGAUGACGAUGGCGAUGAUUUCCCCCUCCCGGAGGGAAGUGUCCCCGGCAGAACAGCUUCGCCAGAGCCCUAGAUUGGUUCCGCCAAGGUUCUGCCUCGUGGCGGCGGAGUCUUGUCUCGAAAGCUUGCUUAUGAUUUUUUCUUCGGGCGAAAGACUUCAUAUAGCAGAAGAUGGCCACCGGAGGGCCAACAGGGGGCCCACGAGGCAGGGGGCGCGCCCAGGGGUGUAGGGCACGCCCCCACCCUCGUGGCCAGGUGGAGGCCCCCCUGACGUGGAUUCUUCUUCCAGUAUUUUUUAUUAUUUCCAAAAAUAACUUUCGUGGAGUUUCAGGAGUUUUGGAGUUGUGUAGAAUAGGUCUCUAAUAUUUGCUCCUUUUCCAGCCCAGAAUUCCAGCCGCCGGCAUUCUCCCUCCUUAUGUAAACCUUGUAAAAUAAGAGAGAAUAGGCAUAAGUAUUGUGACAUAAUGUGUAAUAACAGCCCAUAAUGCAAUAAAUAUCGAUAUAAAAGCAUGAUGCAAAAUGGACGUAUCAACUCCCCCAAGCUUAGACCUCGCUUGUCCUCAAGCGGAAGCCGAUAACGAUAAAUAUGUCCACAUAUUUAGAGGUAGAGGUGUCGAUAAGAUAAAAUACGGACAUGAGGGCAUCAUGAUUAUUUUCAUAACAGCAACAUAUAUGUAUAAUGUCAUAUGAUUCCUUAUGCUCAAGUAAUAAUCUAUUCACAAUGCAAAGUAUGAAUCAGAAACUUCAUUGAGAACUAUCAAACUAUAAUCUCAGUCAUUGAGGCAAUUGCAAUUUAUCAUAACAUCAGAAAGAGUCCAUGUCAGAGCUUUUUAGCAGGUCCACAUACUCAACUAUCAUUUAGUCUUUCACAAUUGCUAACACUCACGCAAUACUUGUGGUUACGGAGUUUUAAUCGGACACAGAGAAAGAUAGGGGCUUAUAGUUUCGCCUCCCAACCUUUUACCUCAAGGGCAAUGUCAACAAUAAUAGUUCAUGCUAACUUACCUCCAAUUAGAUAUAUAUAUCAGGAUCUUUCCAACAUCCUAUGCUUGCCAAAGGAUAAAUUGUAAAAAGGAAAGGUGAAGAUCACCAUGACUGUUGCAUAAGGUAGAAGAUAAAAGUAAAAGAUAGGACCUUCGCAGAGGGAAGCAGAGGUUGCCAUGCGCUUUCAGGGUUGGAUGCACAAAAUCUUAAUGCGAAAGAACAUCACUUUAUAUUGCCACUUGUGAUAUGGACCUUUAUUAUGCAGUCCGUCGCUUUUAUUUCUUCCACAUCACAAGAUCGUAUAAAGCUUAUUUCCUCCACACCAAUCAAUCAUACAUAUUUAGAGAGCAAUUUUUACUGCUUGCACCGAUGACAACUUACUUGAAGGAUCUUACUCAAUCCAUAGGUAGAUAUGGUGGACUCUCAUGGCAAAAAUGGUUUAAGGGUAUUUGGAAGCACAAGUAGUAUCUUUACUUGGUGCAAAGAAUUUGGCUAGCAUGAGGGGGAAAGGCAAGCUCAACAUGUUGGAUGAUCCAUGACAAUAUACUUUAUUUCAGAUAUAAGAAAACAUAACCCAUUACGUUUUCUUCCUUGUCCAAUGUCAACUCUUUAGCAUGUUAUAUUUUAACGAGUGCUCCCAAUCAUGAAAGAUGUCCAUGAUAGCAUAUUGAUAUGUGAAACCUCUCUUUCUUUAUUACUUCCUAUUAAUUGCAACGAUGACCAAAGCUAUGUUUGUCAACUCUAAACAAUUUUUAAUCAUCAUACUCUUUCUAUGUGAAGUCAUUACUCUCCAUAAGAUCAAUAUGAUCUCUUUGUUUCUUUUUAUUCUUUUCUCUUUUAUUUUAUUCCCUCAAGAUCAUGGCAAAAUAAUCAAGCCCUUGACUCAACACCAAUCUUUAUUAUAUAGCUCACGGACUCGAUUACAUAAAGGGAUCAUAAAGAAAAACUCAAAACUAGAUAAAACCAAAACUUUUAUUCUACUAGAUCAAGAUACUACUAAUAGGAUCGAACUAAGAAAAAUGGUAAAGAUAGGAGUGUGAUGGUGAUACGAUACCGGGGCAUCUCCCCCAAGCUUGGCAGUUGCCAAGGGGAGUGCCCAUACCCAUGUGAUUAUGUCUCCUUUGUUGAAGAGGAAGGUGGUGGAGUUGUUGGCAUAGGCUUGUUCCUUAAUUUACGCUUGAGGACAGUAUUUUGAUCCCUCAGGUCAUCAAUCUCCUGCUCCAGGCUUAAUAUCUUUUUGCAUAGUUCCUGCUUGUUUUCCUGCAAGAGGCGAAAAGGGAUAAACUCGAUCUUAAGUUUCUUUGCUCUAUCAGGGAGGCUUGACUUUUUGAACUCCACAUGCAUGUCCCUAGGUUGAGGUAAUGGGACUUCAUCUUCAUCUGAUCUCGUCUCCUCCUUUCUCUUGGGUUCAUAGUCCUCUUCUUCUUCCGUAGUCCAACCACAAUGCUCCACAUCCCCAUAGACCUUAGGAUCUGCAAGAUAAUUAGCCACAUAGGUUUCUCCUUCAGAAUCCUGGGACGACAUGUUGCUCUAAUCUGCAGCAGGACAGCUCAAAACGAAAACAGAGGAUAUUUGCGUGAUACGGUAGUCAAAACCUUCGGGAGAUUACAUAAUGAAUUUUUACCGACCAAAAUACGUAUCGUGCAAGAAAACGGAGUCCGGAGAGCACACAAGGUGCCCACGAGGCAGGGGGCGUGCCCGGGGGGUAGGGCGCGCCCUCCACCCUUGUGGAGCCCUCGUGUCCUUCCCGGACUGCUUCUUAUUUUUUUAUUUUUCUAAAUAUUCCAAACGGAGAAAAAUUGCCUUUAGAACUGUUUUGGAGUCGGUUUACUCACCGUACCACAUACCUAUUCCUUUUCAGAGUCUGAAACGUUCCGGAAAGUGUCCCUUAUGUAUUCCUCCGGGUUACGGUUUCAAUAACAUUAGUUUCAACAUUUAUAGGGUUACCUGAGAUAUAAUGUUUAAUUCUUUGACCGUUCACCACCUUCGGAUUUGUGCCUUCGAAGUUGUUGAUUUUUAUGGCACCGGAACGAUAGACCUCCUCGAUAACGUAAGGACCUUCCCAUUUAGAGAGAAGUUUCCCUGCAAAAAAUCUUAAACGAGAGUUGUAUAGCAAUACAUAAUCACCUACAUUAAACUCACGCUUUUGUAUCCUCUUGUCAUGCCAUCUUUUAACUUUUUCUUUAAACAAUUUGGCAUUCUCAUAGGCUUGGGUUCUCCAUUCAUCAAGUGAGCUAAUGUCAAAUAACCUCUUCUCACCGGCAAGUUUGAAAUCAUAGUUGAGCUCUUUAAUGGCCCAAUAUGCCUUAUGUUCUAGUUCGAGAGGUAAAUGACAUGCUUUUCCAUAAACAUUUUAUACGGAGACAUACCCAUAGGAUUUUUAUAUGCAGUUCUAUAGGCCCAUAAUGCAUCAUCAAGUUUCUUGGACCAAUUCUUUCUAGAUCUAUUAACAGUCUUUUGCAAAAUUAAUUUGAGCUCUCUAUUACUCAAUUCUACUUGAUCACUAGACUGUGGGUGAUAAGGAGAUGCAAUUCUAUGAUUAACAUCAUAUUUAGCAAGCAUUUUACGGAAAGCACCAUGAAUAAAAUGUGAACCACCAUCAGUCAUUAAAUAUCUAGGGACUCCAAACCUCGAAAAAAUAACUUCUUUAAGCAUUUUAAUAGAUGUGUUAUGAUCAGCACUACUAGUUGGAAUAGCUUCUACCCACUUAGUAACGUAAUCAACAACAACUAAAAUAUGUGUAUAUCCAUUAGAGGCAGGAAAAGGUCCCAUAUAAUCAAAGCCCCAAACAUCAAAUGGUUCAAUAACAAGUGAAUAAUUCAUAGGCAUUUCUUGACGUCUACUAAUAUUACCAAUUCUUUGACAUUCAUCACAAGAUAAAACAAACUUACGGGCAUCCUUGAAGAGAGUAGGCCAAUAAAAACCGGAUUGCAAUACCUUAUGUGCAGUUCUAUCUCCAGCGUGGUGUCCUCCAUAAGCUUCGGAGUGACACUUGCGUAGGAUUUGUUCCUGUUCAUGCUCAGGUACGCAACGUCUAAUAACACCAUCUACUCCUUCUUUAUAAAGAUGUGGGUCAUCCCAGAAGUAAUGUCUUAAAUCAUAGAAAAACUUUUUCUUUUGUUGGUAUGUGAAACUAGGUGGUAUAAAUUUAGCAACGAUGUAAUUAGCAUAAUCAACAUACCAAGGAGUAGUACGAGAAGCAUUUAUGACAUUUAAUUGUUCAUCAGGAAAGCUAUCAUCAAUAGGUAAUGGGUCAUCAAGAACAUUCUCUAUCCUAGACAAGUUGUCUGCAACGGGGUUCUUAGCUCCCUUUCUAUCAAUAAUAUGCAAAUCAAAUUCUUGUAGCAAGAGAACCCAUCUAAUAAGUCUAGAUUUAGCAUCUUUCUUUUCCAUAAGAUAUUUAAUAGCAGCAUGAUCCGUGUGAAUAGUUACUUUAGAAUCAACAAUAUAAGGUCUGAACUUAUCACAAGCAAAUACAACUGCUAAGAAUUCUUUUUCAGUAGUAGCAUAAUUUCUCUGUGCAUUGUCUAGAGUUUUACUAGCAUAUUGAAUAACAUUUAAUUUCUUAUCAACUCUUUGCCCUAGAACAGCACCUACAGCAUAAUCACUAGCAUCACACAUAAUUUCAAAAGGUAAAUUCCAAUCAGGUGGCUGAACAAUAGGUGCAGAGAUCAAUGCUUUCUUAAGUAUUUCAAAUAUUUCUACGCAAUCAUCAUCAAAGACAAAUGGUAUAUGUUUUUGUAAUAAAUUAGUCAGAGGCCGAGAAAUUUUGGAGAAGUCCUUAAUGAACCUCCUAUAAAACCAGCAUGACCAAGGAAACUUCUUAUACCUUUGAUGUCCUUGGGACAUGGCAUCUUUUCAAUAGCAUCAACCUUGGCUUUAUCAACCUCAAUACCUAUUUCAGAAACUUUAUGCCCCAAGACAAUACCUUCAUUAACCAUAAAGUGGCACUUCUCCCAAUUCAAGACAAGGUUAGUUUCUUCACAUCUCUGCAAAACUCGAUCAAGGUUGCUUAAGCAAUCAUCAAAAGAGGAUCCAUAGACGGAGAAAUCAUCCAUGAAAACCUCACAAAUCUUUUCACAAAAGUCAGAGAAUAUAGCCAUCAUGCAUCUUUGAAAGGUAGCAGGUGCAUUACAUAAACCGAAAGGCAUAUGUCUAUAAGCAAAAGUACCGAAAGGGCAAGUAAAAGUGGUCUUUGAUUGAUCAUCGGUUGACACAGGUAUUUGAGAGAAACCAGAGUAACCAUCUAGAAAGCAAAAAUGUGUAUGUUUAGAUAAUCUUUCUAGCAUUUGAUCAAUAAAAGGUAAGGAGUAAUGAUCCUUUUUAGUAGAUUUGUUUAAUUUGCGGAAAUCGAUUACCAUCCUAUAACCUGUAAUAAUUCUUUGUGGAAUCAAUUCAUCUUUGUCAUUAGGAACGACAGUAAUACCUCCCUUCUUAGGGACACAAUGGACAGGACUUGCCCACUGACUAUCAGCAACGGGAUAAAUUAUACCUGCCUCAAGGAGCUUUAGUAUUUCCUUUCUUACCACUUCUUUCAUCUUAGGAUUCAGCCGUCGUUGGUGAUCACGAACUGGUUUGGCAUCUUUCUCCAAAUCUAUUUUGUGUUGGCAUAGAGUGGGACUAAUGCCCUUAAGAUCAUCAAGAGUAUAUCCAAUAGCAGCACGGUGCUUCUUCAGGGUUUUCAAUAAUUUUUCUUCCUCCUUUUCUGAAAGGUUAGCACUAAUAAUAACAUGAUAUAUCUUCUUUUCAUCAAGAUAAGCAUAUUUAAGAGUAUCAGGCAAUGAUUUAAGCUCAAACACGGGAUCACCCUUGGGUGGAGGAGGAUCCCCUAGGAUUUCAACAGGCAAAUUGUGUUUCAGGAUGGGUUCCUAUUUAAAGAAUACUUCAUCUAUUUCCCUUCUUUCAUUCAUAAACAUAUCAUUUUCAUGGUCUAGCAAAUAUUUUUCUAAAGGAUCACUAGGAGGUACAACAAUAGAAGCAAGACCAAUAAUUUCAUUGUUACUAGGCAAUUCCUCUUCACGGUGUUGUCUACAAAAUUUAGAAAAGCUAAACUCAUGAGACAUAUCACCUAGACCAAUAGUAACAACAUCCUUUUUGCAGUCUAUCUUAGCAUUAACAGUGUUCAAGAAGGGUCUACCAAAUAUAAUGGGGCAAAAGCUAUCUUGUGGGGAACCGAGAACAAGAAAAUCAGCAGGAUAUUUAGUUUUCCCACACAGGACUUCAACAUCUGUAACAAUUCCCAUUGGUGAUAUAGUAUCUCUAUUGGCAAGUUUAAUUGUGACAUCAAUAUCUUCUAUCUCAGCAGGUGCAAUAUCAUGCAUAAUUUCUUUGUAUAAGUCAAAAGGUAUUGCACUAGCACUAGCACCCAUAUCACAUAAGCCAUGAUAAAAAUGAUCUCCUAUUUUAACAGAAAUAACAGGCAUGCCUACCACAGGUCUAUGUUUAUCUUUAGCACAAGGUUUGACAAUUCUAGCAGUUUCAUCACAAAAAUGAAUAACAUGCCCAUCAAUAUUAUCAGACAAGAGAUCUUUAACAAUGGCAAUAUUAGGUUCAACUUUAACUUGCUCAGGAGGUGUAUAGGUUCUAAUAUUGCUUUUAUGAACUACAGUUGAAGCUUUAGCAUGAUCCUUUAUCCUAAUAGGAAAAGGUGGUUUCUCAACAUAAGCAGUAGGAACAAUAGGAUCAUUAUAAGUGAUAUUCUUUUCUUCAACUUUAAUAGGUGCAACUACUUUUACUUCUAUGGGGGGAUGAUAUUUAAACCACUUCUCCUUAGGGAGAUCAACAUGAGCAGCAAAAGAUUCACAGAAAGAAGCAACUAUCUCAGAGUCAAGUCCAUAUUUAGUGCUAAAUUUACGGAAAACAUCGGUAUCCAUAAAAGAUUUAACACAAUCAAACUUAGGUGUCAUACCUGACUCCUUACCAUCAUCGAGGUCCCAAUCUUCAGAGUUGCGUUUAAUUCUUUCCAAUAAAUCCCAUUUGAAUUCAAUAGUCUUCAUCAUAAAAGAGCCAGCACAAGAAGUAUCGAGCAUGGUGCGAUUGUUAUCAGAAAGCCGAGCAUAAAUUUUUUGGAUAAUUAUUUCUCUUGGGAGCUCAUGAUUGGGGCAUGAAUAUAACAUUGAUUUAAGCCUCCCCAAGCUUGAGCGAUGCUUUCUCCUUUGCGAGGCCAAAAAUUAUAUAUAUAAUUGCGAUCACGAUGAACAAGAUGCAUAGGAUGAAACUUCUGAUGAAAUUCCAAUUUCAAUCGUUUGUAGUUCCAUGAUCCCAUAUCAUCACAUACCCUAUACCAUGUCAAUGCAUCUCCCUUCAAAGAUAAAGGGAAGAACUUCUUCUUAAUAACAUCAUCAGGCACACCUGCAAGCUUAAAUAAACCACAAACUUCAUCCACAUAUAUUACGUGCUCAUCAGGAUGCACUGUUCCGUCUCCUGCAAAAGGAUUAGCUAGCAGUUUUUCUAUCAUACCCGAAGGAAUCUCAAAGUAGAAAUUUUCAUUUUCAGUAGGUUCAGUAGGUUGAGGAGCAACUCUUUGCUCUACUGGUCGGGGUGAAGAUACCCCGAACAAGCCCCUCAGAGGAUUACUUUCCAUAGUAACAGGUGACAGUAAAUUUCAGCACACUAUAUAAAUUUUUCCUUACCAAAUUCCACCUACCAAAGGCGCUUCACUCCCCGGCAACAGCGCCAGAAAAGAGUCUUGAUGACCCACAAGUAUAGGGGAUCUAUCGUAGUCCUUUCGAUAAGUAAGAGUGUCGAACCCAACGAGGAGCAGAAGGAAAUGAUAAGCAGUUUUCAGCAAGGUAUUCUCUGCAAGCACUGAAAUUAUAGGUAACAGAUAGUUUUGUGAUAAGAUAAUUUGUAACGAGCAACAAGUAACAAAAGUAAAUAAAGUGCAGCAAGGUGGCCCAAUCCUUUUUGUAGCAAAGGACAAGCCUGGACAAACUCUUAUAUAGAGAAAAGCGCUCCCGAGGACACAUGGGAAUUAUCGUCAAGCUAGUUUUCAUCACGUUCAUAUGAUUCGCGUUCGGUACUUUGAUAAUUUGAUAUGUGGGUGGACCGGUGCUUGGGUGCUGUCCUUACUUGGACAAGCAUCCCACUUAUGAUUAACCCCUAUUGCAAGCAUCCGCAACUACAAAAGAAGUAUUAAGUUAAACCUAACCAUAGCAUGAAACAUGUGGAUCCAAAUCAGCCCCUUACGAAGCAACGCAUAAACUAGGGUUUAAGCUUCUAUCACUCUAGCAACCCAUCAUCUACUUAUUACUUCCCAAUGCCUUCCUCUAGGCCCAAAUAAUUGUGAAGUGUCAUGUAGUCGACGUUCACAUAACACCACUAGAGCAGAGACAACAUACAUCUCAUCAAAAUAUCGAACGAAUACCAAAUUCACAUGACUACUAAUAGCAAGACUUCUCCCAUGUCCCCGGGAACAAACGUAACUACUCACAAAGCAUAUUCAUGUUCAUAAUCAUAGGAGUAUUAAUAUGCAUAAAGGAUCUAUGAUCUUCCACCAAAUAAACCAACUAGCAUCAACUACAAGGAGUAAUCAACACUACUAGCAACCUACACGUACCAAUCCCAGACUAUGAGACAAGAAUUGGAUACAAGAGAUGAACUAGGGUUUCAGAGGAGAUGGUGCUGGUGAAGAUGUUGAUGGAGAUUGGCCCCUCCCAAUGAGAGGAGCGUUGGUGAUGAUGAUGGCGAUGAUUUCCCCCUCCCGGAGGGAAGUGUCCCCGGCAGAACAGCUCCGCCAGAGCCCUAAAUUGGUUCCGCCAAGGUUCCGCCUCGUGGCGGCGGAGUCUCGUCCCGAAAGCUUGCUUAUGAUUUUUCUUCGGACGAAAGACUUCAUAUAGCAGAAGAUGGCCACUGGAGGGCCAACAGGGGGCCCACGAGGCAGGGGGCCCACGAGGCAGGGGGCGCGCCCCCCACCCUCGUGGCCAGGUGGAGGCCCCCUGACGUGGAUUCUUCCUCCAGUAUUUUUUAUUAUUUCCAAAAUAACUUUCGUGGAGUUUCAGGACUUUUGGAGUUGUGCAGAAUAGGUCUCUAAUAUUUGCUCCUUUUCCAGCCCAGAAUUCCAGCCGCUGGCAUUCUCCCUCCUUAUGUAAACCUUGUAAAAUAAGAGAGAAUAGGCAUAAGUAUUGUGACAUAAUGUGUAAUAACAGCCCAUAAUGCAAUAAAUAUCGAUAUAAAAGCAUGAUGCAAAAUGGACGUAUCAACCGACAUGUAUGUAUCAUUGCUACUAAGGAGAAAACGAUGGGUUAUAUCUCUACAUAGAUAGAUAUUGUCUACGUCAUGUCAUCGUUCUUAUUGCAUUACUCUGUUUCUCCAUGAACUUCAUACACUAGAUGCAUGCUGGAUAACGGUCGAUGUGUGGAGUAAUAGUAGUAGAUGCAGGCAGGAGUCGGUCUACUAAUCUUGGACGUGAUGCCUAUAUAAUGAUCAUUGCCUGGAUAUCGUCAUGAUUAUUUGAAGUUCUAUCAGUUGCCCAACAGUAAUUUGUUCACCCACCGUUUGCUAUUUUUCUCGAGAGAAGCCACUAGUGAAACCUACGGCCCCCGGGUCUCUUUCUCAUAUAUUUGCCUUUGCGAUCUACUUUUCCUUUGCAUUUAUUUUCAGAUCUAUUAAACCAAAAAUACCAAAAUGCCUUGCUGCAAUUUAUUCUUAUUUAUUUUAUUUGUAGUUUGAUAUAUCAAUCUACUACAAUUUUAUCUUACGUCCGUUUGCCUAUCUUGAGGCACCGUACCCGGAAGGGAUUGACAACCCCUUUAACACAUCUGGUUGCGAGGAUUUGUUAUCUGUGUGCAGGGGUUGUUUACGUUGUGUUGCUUGGUUCUCCUACUGGUUCGAUAACCUUGGUUUCAUAUCUGAGGGAAAUUCCUACCGCCGCUAUGCUGCAUCAUCCCUUCCUCUUUGGGGAAAUACCGACAUAGCUUCAAGCGACAUCAGUGGGGCCGAGUUUGACUUUAGGUUUAGGACAUAUUUGGAUUUGAGAAAGUGGUUGAGGGCUUUGGAUCAUAUCACUAAGCAUUUUGAGCAAGUAGAUCAUUAAGCAACACCUCAUCCCCUUUUAAUAGUAUUGGCUUUUCCUAUGGACUCAAUGUGAUCUUGGAUCACUAAAAUAGAAAUGUAGAGUCUUGAGCUUUUGCUAAUAUUUGUCCUUAGCAAUUUGAGGGGUCCACAUCUCUAGUCCAUGCAUGCCAAUCAUUGAAUUUUCUGGAAUAAUCAACUUGAACGGAUAUUAGUUCAAUGAGCUAUAUGUUGUUAUGAAUUACCAAAAGCACCCGGGGAUUAGUUGCACUUUCAGUCUCCCCAUUUUUGGUAUUUGAUGACAACAUAUAGAUCAAAGCUUCGACAAAUAAUAAUAUGAAUGAAAUACAUCGUCGCUUUGAGAAGUAUGUGAUAAGCAAGAGCUUGAUAACCCACAAGUAUAGGGGAUCGCAAUAGUUUUCGAGGGUAGAGUAUUCAACCCAAAUUUAUAGAUUCGACACAAGGGGAGCCAAAGAAUAUUUGAAGGUAUUAGUAGCUGAGUUGUCAAUUCAACCACACCUGGAGAUUAAUUAUCUGCAGCAAAGUGAUCAGUAGAAAAGUAGUUUGAUAGUUUUGAUAGUAGUGACAGCAACAACAGUAACAGUAACAGUGAUAGCAGUAAUUUUGUAGCAAGUGUAACAGUGAUGAUAGCAGUAGUAACGCAGCAAGAUCAAUAUAAAUAAGGGACAAAUGUAUUUUUGCCCCUAGUUGGAACCUACCACGGGUUUUGCCCUUACUUUUCGACUCUGCUCAGUUUUGCCCUUAGAUUUUCCUCCGAGGUCGCCCGAAUGCCCUUUGACCGUUUGACCAAUACUUCAAAAAUUCAUAACAAAUUGAUAUGAACUCAGAAAAAUGCAAAUAAGAUAUCAAAAUGUUCAGAUAAACAUUACCUUUAUGUGUAUGUCAUUUGCAUUCAGGAAAAAAGUACCGUUUAAACUACCUAAGUUUAUUAAUGUUUUUAACAUUAUUAAAACAAAAAAGGUAUAAAUAAUACUUUUUUCAGGAACAAAAAUUACAUGCAAAUGUAGGUGACAUUUUCUAAACAUGUUGAUAUCUUAUUUGCAUUUUUGUGAGUUCAUAUCAACUUGUUAUGAAGUUUCAAAAUAAUGGUCAAAGUUGUUUGAACAUUCAUAAAAAGUUGAUAUGAACUCGAAAAAAUGCAAAAAAGAUACUAGGAUGUUCAAAAAAUAGCACCUACAUUUACAUGUAAUUUUUAUUCUUGAAAAAGUAUUUUUAUACCGUUUUUAUUUUUAAUAAUGUUAAUAACAAGAAUAACCUCAGGUAGUUUAAAUGAUACUUUUGUCCUUAGUGCAAAUGAUAUGCACAUAAAGGUAAUGUUUGUCUGAACAUUUUGAUAUCUUAUUUGCAUUUUUCUGAGUUCAUAUGAAUUUGUUAUGAAUUUUCAAGGUAUUGGUUAAAUGGUCAAAGGGCAUUCGGGUGACCUCGAGGGCAAAUCUAAGGGCAAAAUUAAGCAGAGUCGAAAAGUAAGGGCAAAACCCGUGGGUAGGUUCCAACUAGGGGCAAACAUGCAAUUGUCCCUAUAAAUAAAUUCAUAGGCAUUACUUGUUGGAUGAUAUUCAUCAUGUGACAGUUAUAACCUAGGGCGAUACGACACUAGCUCCAGUUCAUCGAUAUAAUGUAGGCAUGUAUUCCGUAAAUAGUCAUACAUGCUUUAUAAAAAUAACUUGCAUGACAUCUUUUGUCCUACCCUCCCGUGGCAGCGGGGUCCAGAUUGGAAACUAAGGGAUAUUAAGGCCUCCUUUUAAUAGAGAACCGGAACCAAUGUUGAGGAUAUCGCUUAUCGGGAACUUAUCGGUCGACCCAUGAUAAGGGGUAAAUGGGCCAGUUUAUCGGCAUAUCGGCCGAUUUAGCGCCAUAUCGGCUGAUUUAUCGGCCGAUUUAUCUUAUCGGUCAGACACUAGUAAGCGAUAAAUCAGCCGAUUUAUCGGAAUAUCGAAAGAUAUCUUGAACAGUGACCGGAACAAAGCAUUAACACAUAGUGAAUACAUGAACUCCUCAAACUACGGUCAUCACCGAGAGUGGGCCUGGUUGUUGUCACUCUGGGGUUGUCGGAUCAUAACCGUAGUAGGUGACUACAACUUGCAAGAUCGGAUUCUAAACAUGGAUAUAAUGAUGAAUUCAUAAACGGUUCAGAUCUGAGUUCAUGGCACCCGAGCCCAAAGUGACAAGCAUUAAGCAUAUAAAAGUCAUAGCAACAUCAAUCUAAGAACAUAGUGGAUACCAGGGAUCGGGCCCUAACAAAACUAACUCGAUUACAUGAUGAAUCUCAUCCAACUCCUCAGCGACCAGCGAGCCUACGGAGGAAUUACUCACUCCCGGUGGGGAGCAUCAUGGAAUUGGCAAUGGAGAUGGGUUGGUGAUGACGAAGAACGAAGAUCCCCCUCUCGGGAGCCCCAAACGGACUUCAGAUCUGCCCUCCCGAGGAAGAACAGGGCUUGGCGGUGGCUCUGUCUCGUGGAUCGCGAUAAUUCUUUCUCCCUGAUUUUUUCUAGAAAUAUGUGAUUUUAUAGUAUCAGGGGGUCGUCAGCGGGGCCACCAGGUGGGUACAACCCACCUGGGCAUGCCAGGAGAGGGGAGCACGCCCUAGUGGGUUGUGCCCACCCAGGGCCCCCUCUCUGGUGGGUCUUGGCUCUAGAAAUUCUUAUUAUUGAUAUAAAAGAUCCUCGCAAAGUUUCAUUCCAUUCCGAGAACUUUCAUUUAUGCACAAAAACAACACCAUGGUGGUUCUGCUGAAAACAGCGUCAAUCCGGGGUUAGUUUCAUCCAAAUCAUGCAAAUUAGAGUCCAAACCAAGAGGAAAAGCGUGAGAAAAAGUAGAUACGUUGGAGACGUAUCAACUCCCCCAAGCUUAAAACUUUGCUUGUCCUGAAGCAAUUCAGUUGAUAAACUGAAAGUGAGAAAGAAAAACUUUUACAAACUCUUUUGCUCUUGUUUGCAUAAACAAGCUAAAACAGCACCCAAGUUUUCAGCCAACAAUAUAACUAACCAUGUCAACAAUAACUCUUAAAGAUUAUAAUGACUCAUAUCAAUGACAUAAUCAGCUAGCGAGCAAUAAUAAGAUAUCUCAAACAGCAACAUGUUGUCAAAACAACCAUGAUAUAAUAUGACAAUAGUGGUAUCUCGCUAGCCCUUCCUGAGACCGCAAAACAUAAAUGCAGAGCACCUCCAAAGUUCAAGCAGUGACUAAACAUUGUAAUUCAUGGUAGAAAAGAUCAAGUCAUGAUGCACCCAACAUUAGCUACACACAAUGCAUAAAUCAUGACAGUCGUGCUCUACUCAGUUUCUGGCGCUUGUUUUUAGAAGGUGAUGACACACCAUAAAAGUAAAUAGAAAGUCCCUUCGCAGAGGGAAGCAGUGAUUUGCAGAGGUGCCAACGCUCAAUUUUUAAAACGGAGAUAAAUGAUAUUUUGGGACAUGCACCCUUCUCAUUUAAUUCACGACCAUCAGUUAUCAACAUCUUCCAUCCUAAGCACGCUAGUGGCGGUUCCCAAGCGGUAAAAGUAAAGGUUUUGACUCCGUUGGGAGUUUUUGUUUGAUUAUUUCAGAGGUGAACUCUUUUUCAUGUUUGCAGUUUGGGACUCGGCAUCCCUAUUACCGCCCAUUUCCUCAUGCGAUGGAGAGUGAACAAACACUCGACCUGAGGAUAACCCGCUUAGCACGGAAGAUAUCGACCACCUCCUGUUGUUCCAUGAAUGAUCCAGGCACACAAAACAGAUAAUUUUUAGAAGUUUUUAGAGGUGGCACAUGCAAAUUUACUUAGGACGGCAGGGUAAUACCAUAUAUAGGAAGGUAUGGUGGACUCAUCUGGAAUAACUUUGGGUUCAAGGUUUUUGAUGUACAAGCAGAAUUCCCACUUAGUAUAGGCGAAGGCUAGCAAUUAAGAUUGAGAAGCGGCCAGCUAGAGAGCAACAACGAUCAUAACCAUGCAUUAUGCGUAAGUAACAUUGGACACUAGCAUGAGUAGGAUAUGAACACCAUGAACAUAAAUAUUAUAGAGGCUAUGUUGGUUUUCAUUCAACUACAUGCAUGAACAUGUACCAAGUCAAGCCACUCGAACAUUCAAAGGAGGAUACCAUAUCAUCAUACUACAUCACAAUCAUUUUAACGCUAUGUUGAUGUCCAAGAUAAAUCAUUAUUAACUCCCAGCUACUUAUGCAUGGCAUGAGAAACUAUAAUCUCUAAUUGUCAUUGCAAACAUGUUUAAUCAUAAUGGGCUGAAGCCUGGAUACUAGGUUAACCAUAUUUACACAAACAGAACAAGUCGAGUUCAUACCAGUUUCUCUUUGCCACGGCCAGUUCAUCGAAUAUCGUCAUUAUUGCCUUUCACUUGCACGACCGAAUGAUAUGAAAAUAAUAAUAAUAGUGCAAGAGUGCCGUGGACUAAGCUGGAAUCUGCAAAACAUUUUAUUCAACAGGAGAAGACAAGGUAAAAUGGGCUCUUUAUUAGUUCAACAGUUAUUCAUAUGAGAGCCACUCAACAUUUUCAUCGUGGUCUUCUCCUCGGUAAGACUCGAAUAAAAAGAAAAGAAAUUCAGAGAAACACACUGAAAUAUUUUUGGAGUUUUUGAUUUCUUCAACAAGCAAAUAAAAAGCAAAAACGAGAAAAACUAUUUACACGGGAAAGCUCCCAACAAGCAAAAUAAGAACAAGGAAAUCUUUUUGGAUUUUCUUUUUAAUACUACUACUAAGCAUGCAUAGAAAGUAAAUUACUACAACUAAUUUUUUUGGUUUUUUUUCUAAAGUUUUUCAAACACGCAAGAAGAAAGCAAGAAAAUAAAUCUAAACAUGAAUGAUACAAUGAAAAAGUGUGAGCACCGACAAAUAGAAUGAUAUGCGUGAACAUGAAUAUAAUGUCGAUGAGAAACACAUACUCCCCCAAGCUUAGGCUUUUGGCCUAACUUGGUGAGCCUGGAGGGUAGUAGGGAUCCUGAGGAGCGGGCAUCCACUCAUCCCACUGCGAAGGUGCCUGGUGUGCUGCCUCAGCAGCAGCCUGAGCGUUCCGGUAGGCAAUGAUGUCUGCAGGCAUGAUCCUAUAUCCGCCCCUGGCAACAGAAUCAAACAAAGCAGGAGCAGGCAAUGGAAUAACAUCAUGAGUCCUCACACUAAAAACCAGGUUAUACGGAAUAGGGAUGUGAGGGGAUUCGAUAUCAGUAAAAUGGUGGUGAUCCAUGGCUGCACAGUCUAGGUAAACUGUGGUAAGAGGGAAAUCAUGGGGGCGUAUCUCAACCUCGAAGUGAGUCGCCAACCGAGUAGCAAAAAUCCCACCAUGUAUUUUACCCUGGGAUUUAUUAAGGUGCAGGCGACGAGCCACGAUAGCUCCCAAGCUAUACGUGUUGUCGCCCUCCAGUGCACGACGUAAAACAGCAAGGUCCGGUGAACUAAGUGCACCCACCUUCACCCUAGCAAGCAAGCAUUUGGUAAUAAAAAGUGCAAAGUAACGAACAAUAGGAAAAUGUAAGCCAGCGGCAGUGAUGGCCGACACUCUUCUCUCAUCACCCACUGUCAAAGUGCGACAAAAAUCCUCAAACUCGGCCGGCCUAGGCUCAGCCGAGCUCCCAUCAGACGGGAUCAUGCAUAUGUCACAAAAUUCAGUAAGCGGUGCUGAUGGUUUUCAACAUAUAAAUCAAAGCUCACUUCAGGAGGAUUAUCUGUAGGCAAGAAAGUAAAGCUUUGAACAAAGAUAUUUGUGAGGAUUUGGUGCUGGUCACACUCAUCUGCGAUGAAGUUGGUGAGACCGGCAUUGGCAAUGAAUUGCAUGAACUCCUCAUGAAUUCUAGCCUCUUGCAGGAAGGGGAUGUGCGGCCAUUCGCACGGCCGUACCUCCACCAACCUCUGAGGGUGGAGAUCAUUGUCAGAAGACUCCCUAAUAACACCCUUGGAGUUCUUCUUUGAACCAAACUUCCUGAAGAUAUUCAUGUCCACGUACAAUUUUUCCCAUGAACAAAAAUCUGAAUUUUUAGUCCACAAAAUUUUCUCAACAAAACUUCACAAAAUUGAUAUCAACUACUCAUAUGGAUACAUAGAGGCCAUAGCAAGCAUUCAAACUACUUAGAACACUAAGAAUUCAACAUGCAAGCACAUCUACAACAGCACCAAGAGUAGCUAAUUAUUCAAAGUAUAAACCACAAAAACAAAAAUUAAUUGGACAAAUGGUGGAGUCACAUACCAAGCAAUAAUCCCCCGAAACAGGUUCAGAAAUGGAGCUUUGAGCAAAGAGAUCGAAAUCUGCGGGUUUGAGCUCAAGAACACGGGAGAGAGAGCAAUGGGAUUUUUUUUCUGGAGGUGAGUGAUGAUGUGGGAUAAAGAGAUAAGUGAGGGGGCCCACGUGGGGACCACAACCCACCAGGGCGCGCCUGGGGGUCCUGGCGCGCCCAGGUCGAUUGUGCCCACCUGGUGCACCUCCCUCUAGUAUUAUUUGCACCCAAAAUUCUUAAAUAUUUAGAAAAAAAUCAUAUAAAAUUUUCAGGGCAUUAUGAGAACUUGUAUUUUUGGGUCAUCUUUUAUUGCACAGAAAAUUCAGAAAACAAACAAAACAUGGCAUUUUAUUUUAUUUAACUAAUAAAAACAGAAAGCGAAAGGUAGGGACAGAAGGUAGUGCUUACUAAAUUCAUCAACUUUAUACCGUUCAAAAAUGAUUCAUUAAUAAGGUUGAUCAGGUCUUAUUAACAACCACUUUCGAUUAGCAUGAAACCGAAGAACUUUCGUAAAUCACUAAGUUACCUCAAUGGGGUAUGCAUUUCCCCAACAAUAAGCAUUUCAUAUUUCUUUUUGACAGUAGGUAAAGGUAUUUGAAAACUUCCAAUAGUGAUUGUCGGAGAUUUUUCAAUAACAUUAAUACCAUUCACUUGGAAUUGUUUCUUCGGAAAGUGCAACGUAUGCUCAUUACCAUUGAUAUGACAAGUGACCUUGCUUUUAUUGCAAUCAAUAACAGCCCCUGCAGUGUUCAAGAAGGGUCUACCAAGGAUAAUCGACAUGUUGUCGUCCUCGGGCAUCUCAAGUAUAACAAAGUCAGUCAAAAUAGUAACAUUAGCAAAAACAACGGGCACAUCCUCACAGAUACCGAUAGGUAUGGCAGUUGAUUUGUUAGCCAUUUGCAAAGAUAUUUUAGUAGGUGUGAGUUUAUUCAAGUCAAGUCUUUUAUAUAAAGAGAAAGGCAUAACACUAACACCAGCUCCUAAAUCACACAAAGCAGUUUUCACAUAAUUCUUUUUGAUAGAUCAAGGUAUAGUUGGUAUUCCUGGAUCUCCAAGUUUUUUAGGUACUCCAUCUUUGAAAGUAUAAUUAGCAAGCAUAGUGGAGAUUUCAGCUUCCGGUAUUUUUCUCUUAUUAGUGAUGAUGUCUUUCAUGUACUUUGCAUAAGGAGGCAUUUUAAGAAUAUCAGUCAAGCGAGUACGCAAAAGGACUGGCCUCAGCAUUUCAGCAAAGCGUUCAAAUUCUUCAUCAUCUUUCUUUUUAGUUGACUUGGGUGGAAAAGGCAUAGGUUUUUGAACCCACGGUUCUCUUUCUUUACCGUGUUUUCUAGCAAUGAAGCCUCUUUUAUCAUACCUUUUAUUCUUAGAUUGUGGGUUAUCAAGAUCAACAGGUGGUUCUAUCUCAGCAUCAUUAUCUGGUUCUUUAUUAUUAUUUGGUUGAGUGUCUUCAUGAACCUCAUCAUUAUAUUUUUCAUUAUCACUAGGUGAGUGUUCAUUACCAGAUUGAGUUUUAGCAUCAGAGAUAGAAGUUUCAUUUUCAUUAUCAGGAGGUUUUUCUAUUUCAGGUUCACUAGAAGUGUGCAAAGUCCUAUCAUUUUUCUUUUUCUUUUUUUUUCCUUUUUAGAAGGAUUAGGUGCACUAGUGUUGUUUCUUUGUGAAUCUUGUUCAAUUCUUUUUGGGUGUCCCUCAGGAUAAAGUGGUUCCUGAUUCAUUUUACCUCCUCUAGUUGCAACUCUAACAGCAAAGUCAUGCAUAUUAUGAUUCAUUUCAUCAAGUAAUUCUCUUUGUGAUUUAGCAACUUGUUCUAACUAAGUUUGGACCAUAGAAGCAUGUUUUCCAACACCUCUAACAUCAUUUGAAAUUCUAAAUAACAAGCUACUCAAGCGAGCAAUCAUAUCAGAAUUAUAUUUCAAUUGUUUCAUAACAUCUGCAUUGAAGUGAUCUUGUUUUCUAAUGUAGUUUUCAAACUCAUAAAGGGAUUGACUAGGAUGCAUAUUGUGAGGAUUAUCAUUUUCAAUAAACUUCAUAAGAGAAUUUACCUCUACCACCUUAGGCAGUGGUGGUGUAUUAAGCCCAUGUAUUUCUUCAAUAGGAGGUAAAAUUUUAACAUCCUCAGCUUUAAUACCUUUUUCCUUCAUAGAUUUCUUUGCCUCUUGCAUAUCUUCAGGACUGAGAUAUAAUAUACCCCUAUUCUUUAGAGUAGGUUUAGGCGGUGGUUCAGGAAUAGUCCAAUCAUCAUAAUUUUUCAAUAUGUUAUUCAAUAAUUCUUCAGCUUGUCCAACAGUCCGUUCCCUGAAAACACAACCAACACAACUAUCUAGGAAGUCCCUAGAAGCAUCGGUUAGUCCAUUAUAGAAGAUAUCAAGCAUUUCAUUAUUCUUAAGAGGAUGAUCAGGCAAAGCAUUUAGUAACUGGCAAAGCCUUCCCCAAGCUUGUGGGACACUCUCUUCUUUAGUUUGCACAAAGUUAAAUAUUUCCUGUAAGGCAGCUUGUUUCUUAUGAGCAGGAAAAUAUUUUUCAGAGAAGUAGUAAAUCAUAUCCUGGGGACUACGCACACAACCAGGAGCAAGAGUAUUGUACCAAGCUUUAGCAUCACCCUUUAAUGAGAAAGGAAAUAAUCUGAGAAUAAAGUAAUAGCGAGUUUUCUCAUCAUAAGUAAAAAGGGUGGCUAUGUCAUUCAACUUAGUAACAUGUCCCACAAAAGUUUCAGUUUCAUAACCAUGGAAAGGAUCAGAUUUAACCAAAUUAAUUAACUCUGGGACGACAGAGAAUUCAUAAUCCUUAUCAUCAAUAAAGAUAGGUGAAGUAGCAAACUUAGGAUCACAUUUCAUUCUAGCAUUCAGAGACUUUUCUUUAUACUUGCAUAGUAAUUUCUCUAGAUCAUCUCUAUCAUUGCAAGCAAGAAUAUCUCUAGUUGCUUCUUCACUCAUAACAUAACCUUCCGUUACCUUAGGCAAUUCAUAUCUAGAAGGCUAGUUCUAGCAGGUGUUUCAGGAGUUUCAGUUUCAAGCUCAUCAUCAGAUUCAACAACAUCAUGUUGUAUUACUCUAGCAAUUUGUUCAUCAAGAAAAUCACCAAGUGGCACAUCAUCACUAUCAAGCAAGGUACUAGCAUCAUCAUAAGCAUCAUUCAUAGUAGAAGUAGCAUCAUCAAUAACUUGCGACAUAUCAGAAUUAAUAGCAUGUGGUAGUGUUGCAAGUUAACUCAUAAUAGAAGGUGAAUCUAAAGCAGAACUGGAUGGCAGUUUCUUACCUCCCCUCGUACUUGAGGGAAAUAUCUUAGUCUUAGGAUCCUUCAGAUUCUUCGUAGUGAUAAAUUGAUAAUAAUCCCAAGUGACUCAACAAAUAUAGCUAUGCUCCCAGGCAACGGCGCCAGAAAAAGGUCUUGAUAACCCACAAGUAUAGGGGAUCGCAACAGUUUUCGAGGGUAGAGUAUUCAACCCAAAUUUAUAGAUUCGACAUAAGGGGAGCCAAAGAAUAUUUGAAGGUAUUAGCAGCUGAGUUGUCAGUUCAACCACACCUGGAGAUUAAUUAUCUGCAGCAAAGUGAUCAGUAGCAAAGUAGUUUGAUAGUUUUGAUAGUAGUGACAACAGCAACGAUAACAGUAACAGUGAUAGCAGUAAUUUUGUAGCAAGUGUAACAGUGAUGAUAGCAGUAGUAAUGCAGCAAGAUCAAUAUAAAUAAAUUCGUAGGCAUUGGAUCGGUGACUUGUUGGAUGAUAUUCAUCAUGUGACAGUUAUAACCUAGGGCGAUGCAGCACUAGCUCCAGUUCAUCGAUAUAAUGUAGGCAUGUAUUCCGUAAAUAGUCAUACGUGCUUUAUAAAAAGAACUUGCAUGACAUCUUUUGUCCUACCCUCCCGUGGCAGCGGGGUCCAUAUUGGAAACUAAGGGAUAUUAAGGCCUCCUUUUAAUAGAGAACCGGAACAAAGCAUUAACACAUAGUGAAUACAUGAACUCCUCAAACUACAGUCAUCACCGAGAGUGGGCCCGGUUGUUGUCACUCCGGGGUUGUCGGGUCAUAACCAUAGUAGGUGACUAUAACUUGCAAGAUCAGAUCUAAAACAUGGAUAUAAUGAUGAAUUCAUAAACGGUUCAGAUAUGAGUUCAUGGCUCCUGGGCCCAAAGUGACAAGCAUUAAGCAUAGCAAAGUCAUAGCAACAUCAAUCUAAGAACAUAGUGGAUACUAGGGAUCAGGCCCUGACAAAACUAACUCGAUUACAUGAUGAAUAUCAUCCAACUCCUAACCGACCAGCGAGCCUACGAAGGAAUUACUCACUCCCGGUGGGGAGCAUCAUGGAAUUGGCGAUGGAGAUGGGUUGGUGAUGAUGAAGAACGAAGAUCCCCCUCUCCGGAGCCCCAAGCGGACUCCAGAUCUACCCUCCUGAGGAAGAACAUGGCUUGGCGGCGGCUCCGUCUCGUGGAUCGUGGUAAUUCUUUCUCCCUGAUUUUUUCUGGAAAUAUGUGAUUUUAUAGUAUCAGGGGGUCGUCGGCGGGGCCACCAGGUGGGUACAACCCACCUGGGUGCGCCAGGAGAGGGGGGCGCGCCCUGGUGGGUUGUGCCCACCCAGGGGCGCCUCUCUGGUGGGUCUUGGCUCCAGAAAUUCUUAUUAUUGAUAUAAAAAAUCCUCGCACAGUUUCGUUCCAUUCCGAGAACUUCCAUUUCUGCACAAAAACAACACCAUGGUAUUUCUGCUGAAAACAGCGUCAGUCCGGGGUUAGUUUCAUCCAAAUCAUGCAAAUUAGAGUCCAAAACAAGAGGAAAAGCGUGAGAAAAAGUAGACACGUUGGAGACGUAUCAGAGCUCCCCAUAAAUUUGUGCAUUAUUUAAAAUUUGCUUUUGAAUGCAAAUGCACAAUCAAUUAGGAUCAUGGGUUACUCUCCCAUGUCACAUACAUCUUGGUGGAGUGCUCAAAAUGAUGGAAUAUAAAGAACAUGCACUCAUCACCAAGGCAAACAUGAUUGAUCAUACACAAGUAUUAAGAUAACAUCAUUCAAGCACACAUUGAAGCAUAAUAUGAUCAAACACAUGACCAUAAGAGUAUCUCUCACACAAGCACAAAUAUUGUAGCAACCAAACAAUCAAUCGACAAGUAGAAAGAGAGGCAAACAAAAGCAAAACACACACACUCUCUCAAGGCCUAUGAUAUAUACAUUUUCCCCCCUUUGGCAGCAAGUUACCAAAAAGCUUGAAAAUGCAUAGUGCUAUGCGGCACUCUAAGCACGAUCUCCGGGAGCUCCGGUGUGCGAAGAUGGCAUGGAGAGGAAAACAUCUGCAAACACUUCAGAGGAUGUCUGAGGAACUGGAGGAGUUGCAACUGGAGGGGCAACUGGGGCAGUGGUUGCAGGUGCUGAAGUGGUAGCUCUCGUAUCACUGACUGGCACAGCUAUAGACCUAUGUGCUCUAGGCACUCUCUGAUAUGCCUCUGUGGUUGGCCCGUCACUCCUGUCCUCAAGGUCUCCCUAUAUCUUCUCAAUUGAGGUCUGAAUCUGUGUGACCUUGACAUCUAGAUCAUGUAGCUUUGUCUCAAAGAUCCUCUCAAGGAUCUCUAGAUUCCGAGUCAGGGUGGCUAGUCCUCUCUCUAUUCUCACUGUUACCUCAAGCAGAUAGCUGGGCUGGUCCUGCUUUUUCUUGAGAUUUACAGCUGAGACAUCUGGAAUCUUGGAAGUCUUUGCUGCCUUUGCUUUCUCUCGCUUCUCCUGAGCCUCUACAGAAGUAGGAUGUGAAGCAUCCAUGACAACAACAUUGUCCUCAAAGUAUGGCCACAGGGGAAGGUGCUCCCUGUCUAGUAGAUAAGUGCCUGUUCCCAUCUUGGAGUUGAUGAGCAUAUGAAUGUGGGGGGGGGGCAUAUCCACAUGACCUCUUCUGAUCUGUAGCAGUACUUUUCCUCACAACAUAUGGGUCUAUCUGUCUCCAUAGUCUGAGACCUGCAUCCUUUCUCACUUUCAUGUUCUCUGCAAUUGGAUGAUUGUCAUCAUGAUCUGGAAGUUUUGGCUUGAGCUUUCUGAGCACUUGGGGCUCAUCAUCUUCUUGAACUUCAGGCACUGGGGCCUUGUUCUUCUCUGCAGCUGAAAUGUUUCUUGUGGAUCUCUUAGGUGAUGUAGGCUUUGGAGCUUGAGCUUGUGGCUUGAGAGCUGUCUUGGGCUUAGAUGGAGCAUCCCCAGACUUGAUAGCAUCUCCCAUGAGUUUCUGAGAUUUAGGUGGAGGUGCAGUAGCUUCUUCCUCCUCUCCUUCAUCACCCUCAUCUGACCCUUUCAUCAUGGAUGAUCUUCCAAUUACUCUGGCCAUAGUCUUCUUGACUCUUUCCUUUCUUUUCUUGCCCCCAUCAGCCUCUUCUUUUAUUGAUUUCAAAGUUUCAAGAGUGGAUGCUCUGGCUUUGGACAUGGGCUUCCUCUGAGCAGGAGCCUUCUUGUGCAUGCCAGGCUUGAUGGCAGCAGCAGCAGCAGCAGCUUGGUCUUUCUUGAACACCUUCUUUUUAGAAGUGACCUCCUCAUCAACCACAAAAUCUUCAGCUUCAGAUUCUGAGGUUCUCUUCUUCCUCUGCCUAGUUGCAGCCUUAGGCAGGUUGCUUGGGGAGCUUCUGCUACCCUCAUCAUAGCUGCUAUCUGAGGGACUAGUACCCUCACUGAGAUUCUAUUGCUCCUCUGACCUGUUAUGGCUGUCACUGUUGUCUGACAUGGCUGACACUGACCCUGUGAAUAGAUAGGUAUAGGUAGAGUAGAUGAGCAUCACAAAGCACAACUAUUUUGGCAAAAAGUUGACUCAAAAACUUAAUUUUAGAUUUCUACAUAAAGCAUUUUGGAGCUACUGAUAUGACAAACUUGGUGACACCAAAGCAAUUUUAGAGUCUAAACAUGUGAAAUCGGUCAGACCGAGACACAGUUUGGUGACUCUGAGAUGCUAGGGUUUCACAGAGAAAGUGAACUCGGUCACACCGAUUUGUACACUUCGGUCAGACCGAGUAGUACAUGUGCAAUGGCCUGGGCCAAAUCGGUGAGACGGAAUACUCCAAAUCGGUCAGUCUGAGAUGAGGAAACCUAACCCUAAGUUCUUGCAUCAAAACUAAUCUAGAGGAAGUUUUGGUUUGAUAGAAUGAUCUCAAUCGUGGCAAGAUUCAUGGCAUUAUCCUUUGUGCUAGAAUCAGAGUUAAGGAAUACACAAAGGGAUCGAGUUCAUACCCUAACUUGGCGAUAACUACGGCGACAACGGCGGAGGUGAUUCCCAUUGACGGUGGUGGAAACCAGUGGCAGGAGGUCACUGGCGACGACGGCGAUGAUCCGGAGACUAGGAGGGGCGCCAGAGCUGGGCAGGCGUGGUUGGAGGUUUGAAGAAAUUUCCAAAUUUCAACCCGCGUAUAUAUAUACCCAGUCACAGUCGGUGUGACCGAGUGGAACGACUCGGUGGCACCGAGAUGCAGAAUCACAAGCGGUUACUGUAACUCGGUGAGAUCGAACAGUUCUAAUCGGUUGCACCAAGGUGAAAACCUAGAUCAACUCAAUGAGUUCGGUGAGACCGAAAGGAAUGAAUCGGUCGGACCGAGAACCAUUGAGAGAUUUUGGAGGUUUAAGCCCUUGACGGAUCGGUGGCUCCGAGUGCUCCUCACCUAGAGGGUCCGAAUUCGACUUGAUCAAACUUUGUGAUGUAGCAUGAAUAGAGUUUGAGACAAGAAAAUCAUAGAUAGCUAGAGGGAGUACUUAGGCAUUCUUGUCCAUCCAUUUGGCAAAAAGAAAAGCCAAACAAUCAAAACAACAAAUGGAUGUCCUCGAAUGGGAAAAAAAUAUGCAACCAACAUGCUCACACAAUAAGAUAGCAAAUGAAAUAUGUGGCAAAGCAUGCACAAACACUCUAGCAUCUAUCAAGCAAUUGGCGAUGACUAGGUCAUCUAUAUAUGAGCAUAUUGACUGAGGAGUCAAAUGAGAACAUUUGAUCGUAGGUCAUACUCAUCGUUUAAGCACAAGUGUGGUUACCACUUUUACAUAAAGCAUUGUUGUGUUCACACCAUUAGAGUUGCUUUAGCUCAAUUCUUAGAGCAAAGCUCCCCCUAGAUGUGAUAUCCCCCCUAAGAGGGAUGAACUAACCUUGGGUUUUGUCGAUGAUGACUUCAUGUAGGUGUUGAAGAUGUAGAUGCUCAAUGUUGAUGUAGAUCAUUCGGAGCAAUCCAUUGGAGUGAGUUGCACUUUCAAUACUGAUACGUCUCCAACGUAUCUAUAAUUUAUGAAGUAUUCAUGCCAUGUUUAAAACAAUUUUAUAUGGUUUUGGUAUGAUUUGCAUGGAACUAACCCGGACUGACGCUGUUUUCAACAGAACUACCGUGGUGUUGCUUUUUGUGCAAAAAUGAAAGUUCUCCAAAUGAGCUGAAGCUUUUUAACGAUUUUUUGGAACAAAAGAGACCCCCGAAGCUUCGUGGGAGGGCCAGAAGAGCCACGAGGAGGGCACAACACACCAGGGCGCGCCUGGUGGGCAUGGCUUGUCCCGGUGGGUUGUGCUCACCUCGAGGCCCAUCUUAGCGUGAAACCAACCCCAAAAAAUCCUAUAAAUAGAGAAACCAUCAGAAGUUAACCUAGAUCAGAAGUUCCACUACCGCAAGGCUCUGUAGCCACCGAAAACUAAUCUAUAAAUUCCUUCGAUGAAAAUUGUGCUAAAUUGCUAUUCAUGGAUUGAUAAACCUUAGGUCAUCCACUUGAGGGAAAAUUGCUAUUCUCCUACAAAACUCUGCGCUUGGAGGCCCAACACGAGUCUACAAGAAUAAAGUUGUGUAGUAGACAUCAAAUACCUACAUGGGUUAGUCCCACAAGGAACACACAAGGAUAUCCAAAGACAUAGAGUGAAAUACACACAUGAUGUUGUCCAUGAAAGCAUUAGGUUACCUUGUCCCUUGUCUUACCAACAAUAGGGUUUGUGACUCCUUGAACUAGUGCAAGAUGUGAAAGUUUAUUACACUUGUCCUUGCCAAAAUGAAUAUGAGUGAAGUAUGUUGGUGGAGUCACCCUCAAGAACUCUCUAGUUCUUCUUCUUCGGGAUCCACAUCACCUUGAAGGGAAUCCUUGGAGUUGUAGUCGUACUUGAUGAAGUAGAACUUGAUGUAGUCUUGGGAACCCACUUGACCAAGGCUUUUGGAGCUUCUUAAAAUGCAUCAAUCUCUUCUUGAAGCUUGUCCUUGCCUUUUAGGUUGUGGUCUUGUGGUGGAAGAUUAUCUUGAGCUUGUGUUCCCUUGAAAGAAGUGGGAUCAUACUUCUAUUGUUGAGGAACAAACUUCGUCUUGGGGUAUUGAUCUUCUUCCCACUCAACCCCAUUAGCAUUGAACUUGCGUUCAAAACCAACACCUCGAUUCUUCCUGUGCCUUCCUUGCUUGUGCACAAUUUCCUUAAAUUGCUUACUUCCCGCAAGGCUCUUGUAAACACCUUUCUUUAUAAUUCCUUGAAUAAGCUAAUUUAUUGCUCAAGUGUAACUUGGCUAAGAGAAUUGUACGUCCAUUUUGCAUCAUGUUUACUGAUACGUCUCCAACGUACCUACUUUUUCUCACGAUCUUCCUCUUGUUUUGGACUCUAAUUUGCAUGAUUUGGAUGAAACUAACCCCGGAUUGACGCUAUUUUUUGCAGAAUUACCAUGGUGUUGUUUUUGUGCAGAAAUAAAAGUUCUCAGAAUGGAACAAAACUUAGCGAGGAUUUUUUAUAUCAAUAAUAAGAAUUUCUGGAGCCAAGACCCACCAGAGAGGGGCCCCUCGGUGGGCACAACCCACCAGGGCGCGCCCCCCUCUCCUGGCGCGCCCAGGUGGGUUGUACCCACCUGGUGGCCCCGCUGACGACCCCCCUGAUACUAUAAAAUCACAUAUUUCCAGGAAAAAAAUCAGGGAGAAAGAAUUAUCGCGAUCCACGAGACGGAGCCGCCGCCAAGCCCUGUUCUUCCUCGGGAGGGCAGAUCUGGAGUCCGUUUGGGGCUCUGGAGAGGGGGAUCUUCGUUCUUCGUCAUCACCAACCUAUCUCCAUAGCCAAUUCCAUGAUGCUCCCCACCGGGAGUGAGUAAUUCCUUCGUAGGCUCGCUGGUCGGUGAGGAGUUGGAUGAGAUUCAUCAUGUAAUCGAGUUAGUUUUGUUAGGGCCUGAUCCCUAGUAUCCACUAUGUUCUUAGAUUGAUGUUGCUAUGACUUUGCUAUGCUUAAUGCUUGUCACUUUGGGCCCGGGUGCCAUGAACUCAGAUCUGAACCGUUUAUGAAUUCAUCAUUUUAUCCAUGUUUUAGAUCCGAUCUUGCAAGUUAUAGUCACCUACUACGGUUAUGAUCCGACAACCCCGGAGUGACAACAACCGAGCCCACUCUCGGUGAUGACCGUAGUUUGAGGAGUUCAUGUAUUCACUAUGUGUUAAUGCUUUGUUCUGGUUCUCUAUUAAAAGGAGGCCUUAAUAUCCCUUAGUUUCCAAUAUGGACCCCGCUGCCACGGGAGGGUAGGACAAAAGAUGUCAUGCAAGUUCUUUUAAUAAAGCACGUAUGACUAUUUACGGAAUACAUGCCUACAUUAUAUGAUGAACUGGAGCUAGUGUUGUAUCGCCCUAGGUUAUAACUGUCACAUGAUGAAUAUCAUCCAACAAGUCAGUGAUCCAAUGCUUACGCAUUUAUCCUUAUUGAUCUUGCUGCAUUACUAUUGCUAUCAGCACGGUUACACUUGCUACAAAAUUACUGCUAUCACUGUUACUGUUGCCGUUGCUGCUGUCACUACUAUCAAAACUAUCAAACUACUUUGCUACUGAUCACUUUUCUGCAAAUAAUUAAUCUCCAAGUUUGGUUGAAUUAAAAACUCAACUGCUAAUACCUUCAAAUAUUCUUUGGCUCCCCUUGUGUCGAAUCUAUAAAUUUGGGUUGAAUACUCUGCCCUCAAAAACUGUUGCGAUCCCCUAUACUUGUGGGUUAUCACGACCUUUUUCUAGCGCCGUUGCCGGGGAGCAUAGCUAUAUUUGUUGAGUCACUUGGGAUUAUUAUCAUAUUAUCACUAUGAAGAAUCUGAAGGAUCCUAAGACUAAGAUUUAUCCCUCAAGUACGAGGGGAGGUAAGAAACUGCCAUCCAGUUCUGCUUUAGAUUCGCCUUAUGUUAUGAUUAAACUUGCAACACCACCACAUGCUAUUAAUUCUGAUAUGUCGCAAGUUAUUGAUGAUGCUACUUCUACUAUGAAUGAUGCUUAUGAUGAUGCUAGUACCUUGCUUGAUAAUGAUGAUGUGCCACUUGGUGAUUUUCUUGAUGAACGAAUUGCUAGAGUUAUACAACAUGAUGUCGUUGAAUCUAAUGAUGAGCUUGAAACUGAAACUCUUGAAACACCUGCUAGAACUAGCCUUCCUAGAUAUGAAUUGCCUAAGGUACCGGGAGGUUAUGUUAUGAGUGAAGAAACAACUAGAGAUAUUCUUGCUUGCAAUGAUGGAGAUGAUCUAGAGAAAUUAUUACGCAAGUAUAAAGAAAAGUCUCUGAAUGCUAGAAUGAUAUGUGAUCCUAAGUUUGCUACUUCACCUAUUUUUAUUGAUGAUAAGGAUUAUGAAUUCUCUGUCGACCCAGAGUUAAUUACUUUGGUUGAAUCUGAUCCUUUCCAUGGUUAUGAAACUGAAACUGUUGUGGCACAUCUUACUAAGUUGAAUGAUAUAGCCACCCUUUUUACUCAUGAUGAGAAAACUCGCUAUUACUUUAUUCUCAAAUUAUUUCCUUUCUCAUUAGAGGGUGAUGCUAAAGCUUGGUACAAUACUCUUGCUCCUGGUUGUGUGGGUAGUCCCCAGGAUAUGAUUUAUUACUUCUCUGAAAAAUAUUUUCCUGCUCAUAAGAAACAAGCUGCCUUACAGGAAAUAUUUAACUUUGUGCAAACUAAAGAAGAGAGUCUCCCACAAGCUUGGGGGAGGCUUUGUCAGUUACUUAAUGCUUUGCUUGAUCAUCCUCUUAAGAAAAAUGAAAUACUCGAUAUCUUCUAUAAUGGACUAACCGAUGCUUCUAGGGACUUCCUAGAUAGUUGUGCUGGUUGUGUUUUCAGGGAAAGAACUGUUGGACAAGCUGAAGAAUUAUUGAAUAAGAUAUUGAAAAAUUAUGAUGAUUGGACUCUUCCUGAACCACCGGCUAAACCCACUCCGAAGAAGAGGGGUAUAUUAUAUCUCAGUCCUGAAGAUAUGCAAGAGGCAAAGAAAUCUAUGAAGGAAAAAGGUAUUAAAGCUGAGGAUGUUAAAAUUUUACCUCCUAUUGAAGAAAUACAUGGGCUUAAUACACCACCAAUGCCUAAGGUGGUAGAGGUAAAUUCUCUUAUGAAGUUCAAUGAAAAUGAUAAUCCUCACAAUAUGCAUCCUAGUCAAUGCCUUUAUGAGUUUGAAAACUACAUUAGAAAACAAGAUCACUUCAAUGCAAAUGUUAUGCAACAAUUGAAAUAUAAUUCUGAUAUGAUUGCUCGCUUGAGUGACUUGUUAUUUAGAAUAUCAAAUGAUGUUACAAGUGUUGGAAAACAUGCUUCUAUGGUUCAAACUCAACUAGAACAAGUUGCUAAAACACAAAGAGAAUUGCUUGAUGAAAUGAAUCAUAAUAUGCAUUUCUUUGCUGUUAGAGUUGCACCUAGAGGAGGUAAAAUGACUCAGGAACCACUUUAUCCUGAGGGACACCCAAAAAGAAUUGAACAAGAUUCACAAAGAAACAACACUAGUGCACCUACUCCUUCUAAAAAGAAAAAUAAAAAGAAAAAUGACAGGACUUUGCACACUUCUAGUGAACCUUAAAUAGAAAAACCUCCUGAUAAUGAAAAUGAAACUUCUAUCUCUCAUGCUGAAACUCAAUCUGGUAAUGAACACUCACCUAGUAAUAAUGAAAAAUAUAAUGAUGAGGUUCAUGAAGACACUCAACCAAAUAAUAAUAAAGAACCAGAUAAUGAUGUUGAGAUAGAACCACCUGUUGAUCUUGAUAACCCACAACCUAAAAAUAAAAGGUAUGAUAAAAGAGACUUCAUUGUUAGAAAACACGGUAAAGAAGGAGAACCGUGGGUUCAAAAACCUAUGCCUUUUUCACCCAAGUCAACUAAAAAGAAAUAUGAUGAAGAAUUUGAAUGCUUUGCUGAAAUGCUGAGGCCAGUCUUUUUGCGUACUCGCUUGACUGAUAUCUUGAAAAUGCCUCCUUAUGCAAAGUAUAUGAAAGACAUCAUCACAAAUAAGAGGAAAAUACCAGAAGCUGAAAUCUCCACUAUGCUUGCUAAUUAUACUUUCAAAGAUGGAGUACCUAAAAAACUUGGAGAUCCGGGAAUACCAACUAUGCCUUGCUCUAUCAAAAAGAAUUAUGUGAAAGCUGCUUUGUGUGAUUUAGGAGCUGGUGUUAGUGUCAUGCCUUUCUCUUUAUAUAAAAGACUUGACUUGAAUAAACUCACACCUACUGAAAUAUCUUUGCAAAUGGCUGACAAAUCAACUGCCAUACCUAUCGGUAUCUGUGAGGAUGUGCCCGUUGUUGUUGCUAAUUUUACUAUUUUGACUGACUUUGUUAUACUUGAGAUGCCCGAGGACAAUAACAUGUCGAUUAUCCUUGGUAGACCCUUCUUGAAUACUGCAGGGACUGUUAUUGAUUGCAAUAAAAGCAAGGUCACUUUUCAUAUCAAUGGUAAUGAGCGUACGGUGCACUUUCCGAAGAAACAAUUCCAAGUGAAUGGUAUUAAUGUUACUGAAAAAUCUCCGACAAUCACUGUUGGAAGUUUUCAAAUACCUCUACCUACUGUCAAAAAGAAAUAUGAAAUGCUCAUUGUUGGGGAAAUGCAUAUCCCCAUUGAGGUAACUUAGUGAUUUACGAAGGUUCUUCGGUUUCAUGCUAAUCGAAAGUGGUUGUUAAUAAGACCUGAUCAACCUUAUUAAUGAAUCAUUUUUGAACGAUAUGAAGUUGAUGAAUUUAGUAAGCACUACCUUCUGUCCCUACAUUUUAUUCUCUGUUUUUAUUAGUUAAAUAAAUAAAAUGCCAUGUUUUGAUUGUUUUCUGAAUUUCCCGUGCAAUAAAAAAAUGACCCAAAAAUAAAAGUUCUCAGAAUGCCCUGAAAAUUUUAUAUGAUUUUUUUCUGAAUAUUUAUGAAUUUUUUGUGCAAAUAAUACCAGAGGGAGGAGCACCAGGUGGGCACAAACCACCUAGGCGCGCCAGGACCCCCGGGCGCGCCCUGGUGGGUUGUGGUCCCCACGUGGGCCCCCUCACUUAUCUCUUUAGCCCACAUCAUCACUCACCUCCAUAAAAAAAUCCCCAUUACUCUCUCUCCCGUGUUCUUGAGCUCAAACCCGCGGAUUUCGAUCUCUUUGCUCGAAGCUCCGUUUCCGAAACUGUUUUGGGGGAUUGUUGCUUGGUAUGUGACUCCACCAUUUGUCUAAUUAGUUUUUUGUUUUAUUGGUUUAUACUUUGAAUAAUUAGUUACUCUUGGUGCUGCUGUAGAUGUGCGUGCAUGUUGAAUUCUUAGUGUUAUAAGUAGUUUAAAUGCUUGCUAUGGCCUCUAUGUAUCCCUAUGAGUAGUUGCUAUCAAUUUUGUGAAGUUCUGUUGACAAUUUUUUGCCACCCCAAAAAUUUUUAUUUUCAAAAAAGUGUACGCGGACAUGAUGAACCUAUUUGGAAGGAGUUCUUCGAGGAGACGAUCCUCGGGGGCAUCUUCUAGUGACAAUUCUGCUCGCCGGUCUUAUGUUGAACCCAGUGAAAGUACCAUGCGAGAUGCCGCCACCAAAACAUGCUUAUGGCCUUGCGCUGACUAUAUGGUGCGUGUGAGCAUCAAGGAGGAAUUUGAGCAAUAUGUUCAUAAUGCCGGUCUCGGUCCCUACCUCUCAGAUAACUGUAAACAGCACCAACUUCUCACUGAAUCAUUUGUCAAAGGAUUUAAAUAUUUUCCACGUGAGUCUAGGGUGUCUUUUAUGCUUUAUGAUGAACCAUUUACUAUCCCACUGGAGAAUUUUGCUUACCAUUGCAAACUUCCAUUUUGGGGUUCGCUUGAUGAGCCACCAAAGGCUGAGUAUGAGUCUUUCUUGACUAGACUUUGUUACGGUGAAAAUAGAGGAGUGAGACAAGGAAGAGUAAAGAGCAUUCACUUUCCCGCAAUUCAGUACUUUGCAUUAUUUAACGGGAAAUGCAUAGUAGGCAAGCAAGUCUGCAUCAUACUUUGCUCGCCAGACUUGAGUCUCAUUCACACCGCUCUCUCUGGAGAAAGGAAUUUUAACCUUGGAGCGAUUGUUGCGCGUAGACUUCAGCAUAACGCCAAAAGUGGCUGGUUCUAUGGUGGAAUUUAUGCCACACGUCUAGCACGAGGACUGGGUGUUUCACCUUUGCCCUUUGAUCCUAUCCUACCCACUCGAUAUUUAGAUUUUGAUGCCUUAAAGGAACAUAAGAUUCUCAAGGGAAGGGCUGAUAACUUUACUUAUAAUUUGUUGUUUAACCAAUCACAUGUUGUGGACACAUAUUUGCCUGCGCCUGCUCUCUUUGAUUGUCACAGCAAGGGGAGAUAUUUUGUUCUUGAGAGCGAGGCCCGAGCACACAACGCAGCAGUGGUGGCAGCACGGCAGGCCGAGGCAUCCACACCAUACUAUCCUCCAGGCUACUGAUCGAUUACCAACUUAGGCCAAAAGCCUAAGCUUGGGGGAGUACAUGUUUCCACCGACCUUACAUUCAUGUCCACUUAUUUUCAUCUGUCGGUGCUCACACUUUUUCAUUGUAUCAUCCAUGCUUAGAUUUAUUUUCUUGCUUUCUUCUUGUGUGUUUGAAAAACUUUAGAAAAACAAAAAAAAAAGUUGUAGUAAUUUACUUUCUAUGCAUGCUUAGUAGUAGUAUUAAAAAGAAAACCCAAAAAGAUUUCCUUGUUCUUCUUUUGCUUGUUGGGAGCUUUCCCGUGUAAAUAGUUUUUCUCGUUUUUCCCUUUUAUUUGUUUGUUGAAGAAAACCAAAAACUCCAAAAAUAUAUUUCAGUGUGUUUCUCUGAAUUUCUUUUCUUUUUAUUCGAGUUGUACCAAGGAGAAGACCACGAUGAAAAUGUUGAGUGGCUUUCAUAUGAAUAAAUGUUAAACUAAUAAAGAGCCCAUUUUACCUUGUCUUCUCCCGUUGAAUAAAAUGUUGCAGAUUCCAGCUUAGUCUAUGGCACUCUUGCACUAUUAUUAUUUUCAUAUCAUCCGGUCAUGCAAGUGAAAGGCAAUAAUGACGACAUUCGAUGAACUGGCCGUGGCAGAGAGAAACUGGUUUGAACUCGACUUGUUCUGUUUGUGUAAAUAUGUUUAACCUAGUAUCCAUGAUUCAGCCCAUUAUGAUUAAACAUGUUUGCAAUGACUAUUAGAGAUUAUAGUUUCUCAUGCCAUGCAUAAGUAGCUGGGAGUUGAUAAUGAUUUAUCUUGGAUAUCAACAUAGCAUUAAAAUGAUUGUGAUGUAGUAUGAUGAUAUGGUAUCCUCCUCUGAAUGUUCGAGUGGCUUGACUUGGUAAAUGUUCAUGCAUGUAGUUGAAUCAAAACCAACAUAGCCUCUAUGAUAUUUUAUGUUCAUGGUGUUCAUAUCCUACUCAUGCUAGUGUCCAAUAUUACUUACGCAUAAUGCAUGGUUAUGAUCGUUGUUGCUCUCUAGCUGGCCGCUUCUCAAUCUUAAUUGCUAGCCUUCGCCUGUACUAACUGGGAAUUCUGCUUGUACAUCAAAAACCUUGAAUGCAAAGUUAUUCCAGAUGAGUCCACUAUACCUACCUAUAUAUGGUAAUACCCUGCCGUCCUAAGUAAAUUUGCAUGUGCCACCUCUAAAAACUUCUAAAAAUUAUCCUUUUUGUGUGCCUGGAUCGUUCAUGGAACGACAGGAGGUGGUCGAUAUCUUUCGUGCUAAGCGGGUUAUCCUCAAGUCGAGUGUUUAUUCAGUCGCCAUCGCAUGAGGAAAUGGGCGGUAAUAGCUAGGGAUGCCCGGUCCCAAACUGCAAACACGAAAAGAGUUCAUCUCUGAAAUAAUCAAACAAAAACUCCCAACAGAGUCAAAACCUUUACUUUUACCGCUUGGGAACCGCCACUAGCGUGCUUAGCAUGGAAGAUGUUGAUAACUGAUGGUCGUGAAGUGAAUGAGAAGGGUGCAUGUCUCAAAAUAUCAUUUAUCUCUGUUUUAAAAAUUGAGCUCUGGCACCUCUGCAAAUAAUUGCUUCCCUCUGCGAAGGGACUUUCUAUUUACUUUUAUGUUGUGUCACCACCUUCUAAACCAAGCGCCAGAAACUGAGUAGAGCACAGCUGUCAUGAUUUAUGCAUUAUGUGUAGCUAAUGUUGGGUGCAUCAUGACUGGAUCUUUUCUACCAUUAAUUACAAAGUUUAGUCGCUGCUUGAACUUUGGAGGUGCUCUGCAUUUAUGGUUUGCGGUCUCAGAAAGGGCUAGCGAGAUACCACUAUUGUCAUAUUAUAUCAUGGUUGUUUUGACAACAUGUUGCUGUUUGAGAUAUCUUAUUAUUGCUCGCUAGCUGAUUAUGUCAUUGAUAUGAGUCAUUAUAAUCCUUAAGAGUUAUUGUUGACAUGGUUAGUUAUAAUGUUGGCUGAAAACCUGGGUGCUGUUUAAGCUUGUUUAUGCAAACAAGAGCAAAAGAGUUCGUAAAAGUUUUUGUUUCUCACUUUCAGUUUAUCAACUGAAUUGCUUGAGGACAAGCAAAGGUUUAAGCUUGGGGGAGUUGAUACGUCUCUAGCGUAUCUACGUUUUCUCACGCUUUUCCUCUUGUUUUGGACUCUAAUUUGCAUGAUUUGGAUGAAACUAACCCCGGACUGACGCUGUUUUCAGCAGAACUACCAUGGUGUUGUUUUUGUGCAGAAAUAAAAGUUCUCGGAAUGGAACAAAACUUUGCGAGGAUUUUUUAUAUCAAUAAUAAGAAUUUCUGGAUCCAAGACCCACCAGAGAGGGGCCCCUGGGUGGGCACAACCCACCAGGGCGUGCCCCCUCUCCUGGCGCACCCAGGUGGGUUGUACCCACCUGGUGGCUCCGCCGACGACCCCCUGAUACUAUAAAAUCACAUGUUUCUAGAAAAAUAUCAGGGAGAAAGAAUUAUCGCGAUCCACGAGACGGAGCCGCCGCCAAGCCCUGUUCUUCCUCGGGAGGGGAGAUCUGGAGUCCGUUUGGGGCUCCGGAGAGGGGGACCUUUGUUCUUCGUCAUCACCAACCUAUCUCCAUCGCCAAUUCCAUGAUACUCACCACUGGGAGUGAGUAAUUCCUUCGUAGGCUCGCUGGUCAGUGAGGAGUUGGAUGAGAUUCAUCAUGUAAUCGAGUUAGUUUUGUUAGGGCCUGAUCCCUAGUAUCCACUAUGUUCUUAGAUUGAUGUUGCUACGACUAUGUUAUGCUUAAUGCUUGUCACUUUGGGCCUGGGUGCCAUGAACUCAGAUCUAAACCGUUUAUGAAUUCAUCAUUAUAUCCAUGUUUUAGAUCCGAUCUUGCAAGUUAUAGUCACCUACUACGGUUAUGAUCUGACAACCCUAGAGUGACAACAACCGGGCCCACUCUCGGUGAUGACCGUAGUUUGAGGAGUUCAUGUAUUCACUAUGUGUUAAUGCUUUGUUCCGGUCCUCUAUUAAAAGGAGGCCUUAAUAUCCCUUAGUUUCCAAUAUGGACCCCGCUGCCACGGGAGGGUAGGACAAAAGAUGUCAUACAAGUUCUUUUAAUAAAGCACGUAUGACUAUUUACGGAAUACAUGCCUACAUUAUAUCGAUGAACUUGAGCUAGUGUCGUAUCGCCCUAGGUUAUAACUGUCACAUGAUGAAUAUCAUCCAACAAGUCACCGAUCCAAUACCUAUGAAAUUAUCCUUAUUGAUCUUGCUGCGUUACUAUUGCUAUCAUCACUGUUACACUCGCUACAAAAUUACUGCUAUCACUGUUACUGUUACUAUUGCUGCUGUCACUACUAUCAAAACUAUCAAGCUACUUUGCUACUGAUCACUUAGCUGCAGAUAAUUAAUCUCCAGGUGUGGUUGAAUUGACAACUCAGCUGCUAAUACCUUCAAAUAUUCUUUGGCUCCCCUUGUGUCGAAUCUAUAAAUUUGGGUUGAAUACUCUACCCUCGAAAACUGUUGCGAUCCCCUAUACUUGCGUGUUAUCAUUUACCUACUAUUAUUUAUAAUGUUUUUAUGCAUAAUAAUGAUUUUUGGAGAAAUUCUAAUGCCUUUUCUCUCAUAAUAUGCAAGGUUCACACAAAGAGGGAGAAUUCCGGCAGCUGGAAAUCUGGACCUAGAAAAGCUACGGCAGGCCACCUAUUCUGCACAACUCCAAAUGAGCUGAAACUUCACGAGGAUUUUUUAUGGAAUAAAUAAAAAAUACUGGAGCAAAUAACUACCGGAGGAGGGCCACCUGGUGAGCAGAAGACACCAGGGCGCGCCUAGCCCCCCAGGCACACCCUUGUGGGUUGUGCUCAGCCCGGCCCACCUCCGGUGCCCAUCUUCUGGUAUAUAAGUCAUUUUGACCUAGAAAAAAUGAGGAGAGGACUUUUGGGACGGAGCGUCGUCGUCUCGAGGCGGAACUUGGGCAGGAGCACUUUUGCCCUCCGCCGGGGGAACUUCCUCCCGGAGGGGGAAAAUCAUCGUCACCAUCAUCACCAACAACUAUCCCAUCUUGGGGAGGGCAAUAUCCAUCAACAUCUUCAAUAGCACCAACUCCUCUCAAACCCUAGUUCAUCUCUUGUGUUCAAUGUUUGUACGGGAACUAUAGAUUGGUGCCUGUGGGUGACUAGUAGUGUUGAUUACAUCUUGUAGUUGAUUACUAUAUGGUUUAUUUGGUGGAAGAUUAUAUGUUCAGAUCCAUUAUGCUAUUUAAUACCCCUCUGAUCUUGAGCAUGAUUAUCAAUUGUGAGUAGUUACUUUUGUUCUUGAGGUCACAAGAGAAAUCUUGUUGCAAGUAAUCAUGUGAACUUGAUAUGUGUUCGAUAUUUUGAUAGUAUGUAUGUUGUGAUUCCCUUAGUGGUAUCAUGUGAACGUCGACUACAUGACACUUCACCAUAUUUGGGCCUAAGGGAAUGCAUUGUGGAGUAGUUAUUAGAUGAUGGGUUGCGAGAGUGACAGAAGCUGAAACCCUAGUUUAUGCGCUAUUCCAUAAGGGACCCAUUGGAUCCAAAAGUUUAAUGCUAUGGUUAGAAUUUAUUCUUAAUACUUUUCUCGUAGUUGCGGAUGCUUGCGAGGGGGUUAAUCAUAAGUAGGAGGUUUGUUCAAGUAAGAACAGAACCUAACCACCGGUCCACCCACAUAUUAAAUUAUCAAAGUAGCGAACACGAAGCGAACCAACAUGAUGAAAGUGACUAGAUGAAAUUCCUGUGUACCCUCAAGAACGCUUUGCUUAUUAUAAGAGACUGUUUUGGUCUGUCCUUUGCCUCAAGAGGAUUGGGCUACCUUGCUUCACUUUUGUUACUACUAUUGUUACUUGCUCGCUACAAAUUAUCUUGCUAUCAAACUACUCUGUUACUUACAAUUUUAGCACUUGCACACAUUACCUUGCUGAGAACCACUUGUCAUUUCCUUCUGCUCCUUGUUGGGUUCGACACUCUUGCUUAUCAAAAAGGCUACAAUUGAUCCCAUAUACUUGUGAGUCAUCAAGGCUCUUUUCUGGCCCCGUUUCCGGGGAGUGAAGCGCUCUUGGUAAGUGUAAAUUGGUAAGGAAAAAUUAUUACUACGUGCUGAUAUUUAUUGUCACUUGUUACUAUGGAAAACAAUCCUUUGAGGGGUUUGUUCGGGGUAUCUUCACCUCGGCCGGAACCACAAUUAGUUACCCCUCAACCUACUGCACCUACUGAAAAUAUUGAAUAUGAAUUUCCUUAGGAUAUGAUAGAACAACGGCUAGCUAAUCCUUAUGCAGGAGAUGGAACUGAACAUCCUGAUAUGCACUUGAUAUAUGUGGAUGAAAUUUGUGGAUUGUUUAAGCUUGCAGGCUUAUCCGGAGAUGAAACUAGGAAGAAGGUUUUCCUUUUAUCUUUGAAGGGAAAACCAUUGGCAUGGUAUAGGCUAUGCAAUGAUAUUGGAUCUUGGAACUGGAAUCGAUUGAAAUUAGAGUUUCACCAAAAAAAUUAUCCUAUGCAUCUAGUUCAUCGUGAUCGAAAAUAUAUAUAUAAUUUUUGGCCUCGUGAAGGAGAAAGUAUCGCUCUAGCUUGGGGGAGGCUUAAGUCAAUGUUAUAUUCAUGCCCCAAUCAUGAUCUCUCAAGAGAAAUUAUUAUUCAGAAUUUUUAUGCUCGGCUUUCUCAUAAUGAUCGAUCCAUGCUUGAUACUUCUUGUGUUGGUUCUUUUAUGAAGAAGACUAUUGAAUUCCGGUGGAAUCUCUUAGAAAGAAUUAAAUGCAACUCUGAAGAUUGGGAACUCGACGAAGGUAAAGAAUCAGGUAUUAAGCUUAAUUAUGAUUGUGUUAAAUCUUCUAUGAAUACAGAUGCUUUUCAAAAGUUUAGCACUAAAUAUGGACUUGGCUCUGAGAUAGUAGCCUCAUUUUGUGAAUCUUUUGCUACUCACGUUGAUCUCCCUAAAGAGAAGUGGUUUAAAUAUCACCCACCUAUUAAAGAAGAAAUUAAAGAACCGGUAAUAGCUAAAAGUGAAACUAUUAUUUAUAAUGUUGAUCCAGUUGUUCCUACUGUUUAUAUUGAGAAACCACCUUUCCCUGUUAGGAUGAAGGAACAUGCUAAAGUUUCAACUGUGGUCAACAAAAGUUACAUUAGAACACCUAAACCAGUUGAACAAAUCAAUGUAGAACCUACUGUUGCUAUGGUUAAAGAUCUCCUAGAAGAAAAUAUAGAUGGGCAUGUUAUUUACUUCUGUGAUGAAGCUGCUAGUAUUGCCAAACCCGAUAAAAAGGAUAAACAUAGACCCGUUGUUGGCAUGCCUGUUGUCUUAGUUAAAAUAGGAGAUCACUGUUAUGUGACAUAGAUGCUAGCGUGAGUGCCAUUCCUUUUACCUUAUAUCAAGAAAUUAUGAAUGACAUAACACCCGCUGAAAUAGAAGACAUAGAUGUUACUAUUAAACUUGCUAAUAGAGACACUGUCACACCACUUCGGAUUGUUAGAGAUGUUGAAGUCUUGUGUGGGAAAAUAAAAUACCCUACUGAUUUUCUUGUUCUUGGUUCCCCAAAAGAUGACUUUUGUCCUAUUAUCUUUGGUAGACCUUUCUUGAACACCGUUAAUGCUAAAAUAGAUUAUGAGAGACAAACUGUCGGUGUUAGUUUUGGUGAUGAGUCUCAUGAGUUUAAUUUUUCCAAGUUUAGUAGAAAACCUCAUAAAAAAGAAUUGCCUAGUAAGGAUGAACUAAUUGGUCUUGCUUCUAUUGCUGUACCUCCUACUGAUCCACUAGAAAAAUGUUUGCUAGACCAUGAAAAUGAUUUGCAUAUGCAUGAAAGAAAUGAAAUAGAUAAGAUUUUCUUUGAACACCGUCCUCUGCUUAAACACAAUUUGCCUAUUGAAACUCUAGGAGGUCCUGUUCCACCUAAAGGUGAUCCUGUGUUUGAAUUAAAACAAUUGCCAGACACUUUGAAAUAUGCUUAUCUUGAUGAGAAGAAGAUAUAUCCUGUUAUUAUUAGUGCUAACCUUUCAGAACAUGAAGAAGAAAGAUUAUUGAAAGUUCUAAGGAAGCACCGGGCUGCUAUUGGAUAUACUCUUGAUGAUUUAAAGGGCAUUAGUCCCACUCUAUGUCAGCACAAGAUUAAUAUGGAACCUGAUGCUAAACCCGUUCUUGAUCACCAACGUCGGUUAAAUCUGAAGAUGAAAGAAGUGGUAAGAACGGAAAUAUUAAAACUUCUGGAAGCAGGUAUAAUCUAUCCUAUAGCUGAUAGUAGAUGGGUAAGUCCUGAUCAUUGUGUCCCUAAGAAAGGAGGUACUACCAUUGUUCCAAAUGACAAGAAUGAACUUAUUCCACAAAGAAUUGUUACAGGCUAUAGAAUGGUAAUUGAUUUUAGAAAAUUAAAUAAAGCAACUAGAAAAGAUCAUUACCCUCUGCCUUUUAUUGAUCAAAUGCUAGAAAGAUUAUCUAAGCACACACAUUUUUGCUUCCUUGAUGGAUACUCUGGUUUUUCACAAAUACCUGUCUCUCAACCUGAUCAAGAAAAGACCACUUUUACUUGUCCUUUUGGAACUUAUGCUUAUAGACGUAUGCCUUUUGGUUUAUGCAAUGCACCUGCUGAGGGAGUCCUGGACUAAGGGGUCCUCGGGCGUCCGGCCUGUUAUCCAUGGGCCGGACUGAUGGGCUGUGAAGACAUGAAGGCCGAAGGCUGUACCCGUGUCCGGAUUGGGCUCUACUUGGCGUGGAAGGCAAGCUUGGCAACCGAUUAUGAAGAUUCCUUCUUAUGUAACCGACUCUAUGUAACCCUAGAUUCCCCCCGGUGUCUAUAUAAACCGGAGGGGUUAGUCCGGAAAGUACACAUAUAUAUUCAUUACCAUAGUCAUACAGGCUAGGCUUCUAGGGUUUAGCCAUUACGAUCUCGUGGUAGAUCAACUCUUGUAAACUCAUAUUCAUCAAGAUCAAUCAAGCAGGAAGUAGGGUAUUACCUCCAUAGAGAGGGCCCGAACCUGGGUAAAACAUCGUGUCCCCCGUCUCCUGUUACCAUCGAUCCUAGACGCACAGUUCGGGACCCCCUACCCGAGAUCCGCCGGUUUUGACACCGACAUUGGUGCUUUCAUUGAGAGUUCCACUGUGCCGUCGACAAAAGGUUCGAUGGCCCCUUCAAUCGUCGAUAGUGACGCUGUUCAAGGGGAAACCUUCCUCCCCGGAUAGAUUUUCGUAUUCGGCGGCUUCGUACUGCGGGCCAAUUCGCUUGGCCAUCUGGAGCAGAUCGACAGCUACGCCCCUGGCCACCAGGUCAGAUUUGGAAGCUUGAACUACGUCGCGGAUAUCCGUGGAGACUUGAUCUUCAAUGGAUUUGAGACCGCAACGAUCGCCCCCCUCGCCCCGAUGAACAUGACUUAAAUCUGUCAUCGGAUCACAUCCAGGAGAUGGCUCCUGUUGCUGCAACGGCCUUAGAACCGGAGCAGAUCGUGCCAUCCGAUGCCGCAGAAUCCGCGGUGUUGGAGCCGCACACGGACUCGACGCCCCGCAGUAUUCGCGUCAAUGGAACUCCAGACUCGUCUCCGGUUAUCAAUUCCGGAUCGGGUACGCCUGCGGACACCGAGCUGGAUCGGUUAUCGAUUUUUGAAUUUAGCGCCGCAGACAUCUUCCAGCACUCACCUUUGGGCGAGGUGCUAAACUCUUUAAAGAAUUUGUCCUUGGAGAAGGACUCACAGCCGGACUAUGUUCGGUUCGAGCUAGAGGCUGAUGACGGGGGAUUUUGCUUCCCACCCACCACCCACUUCAUAGCCACCGUCGAUGACUUAACCAACGUGCUUGAUUACGGCUCCAAAGACAUCGACGGUAUGGACGACGAUGCCAACAAGGAGCAAGGCCAGGACCUGCCAUUUACUGGACAUUGGACGGCCACCUCUUUGUACGAUGUGUACAUGGUCGACACACCUAAAAAAGCUAGCGACGAUGACAAAGGGGAUCCAGUUGCGAAUAAACCUUCUGAGACACAGUCCAAGCGGCGGCGCCCUAAACGCCGUUUUAAGCCUCGUCGCUCAAAAGAUGGCAACACUGGCACCGGAGAAAAUAGUACUCCGGGCGACGCCGAAAACAAUGAAGACCCUAUUGGAGCUGCAUCCGAACAGGAGGAACAAGACAACGGGCAAGAUAACCCUGAUAAACAGGCCAUGCCCAAUGACCCGGAUGAUGAUAGUUAUCGUCCAAUCUCCGAAGAUGAGGAGAGCCUCGGCAGCGAGGAUUUCAUCGUACCUGAGGCACCCCUAGAGCAUGAGCGCUUCAAGAGCCAGCUAAUAGCUACUGCCAGAAGCUUAAAGAAAAAGCAGCAGCAGCUCCAAGUCGAUCAAGACCUACUCAUCGACAGAUGGACCGAUGUCCUGGCAGCCGAAGAAUACGGCCUCAAGUGCCCAGCCAAGAGUUACCCAAAGCGCAGACUUCUACCUCAGUUCGACAAGGAGGCACCAGAUCCCAUACCUCCCCCGCGUAAUGAGGACCGACCACCAUGUGGGCGGGAUAGUGCGGCGGACCAACCACCCCGCGGUCGGGAUAAAAUGGCAAGUCAGGCCGAACAACAGCCCGCCCCACCGCCUCAUAAAAACAAGGACAAAACAACUCAGGACCAUACAUACGACCUUCGACAGGACCUGGACAGUAGAGCAGGACACACCAGAUCAAUCUACGGAUCGCGAGGACGCUUCCCUACUCGGGAUGACAGCUACCUAUUCGGACGGGACAAACUUAAUCACACCCGGGCCGAUAACCGCAGACGGACUUCAUCGAAGGUGCGCCGUGACGCGGCCCACUAUAGAGGCGCCGCACACCCUCUCUGCUUCACAGAUGAGGUGCUGGAUCACGAAUUCCCCGAGGGGUUCAAGCCCGUCAGUAUUGAAUCAUACGGCGGAACAACCGAUCCCGCAGUGUGGAUCGAAGAUUUUAUUCUCCACAUCCACAUGGCCCGAGGAGAUGACCUCCACGCUAUCAAAUACCUCCCAUUAAAGCUCAAAGGACCAGCUCGACACUGGCUAAACAGCCUGCCUGAAAAUCCCAUCGGCGGCUGGGAGGACUUGGAAGAAGCCUUUCUUGACAACUUCCAAGGCACUUAUGUCCGGCCACCUGACGCUGAUGACUUAAGUCACAUAGUUCAACAACCUGGAGAGUCCGCCAGAAAACUCUGGACUAGGUUCCUAACCAAAAAGAACCAGAUCGUUGACUGUCCGGAUGCCGAAGCCCUAGCGGCCUUUAAACGCAUCACCCGUGAUGAAUGGCUAGCACGCCACCUUGGCCAAGAAAAGCCGAAAUCCAUGGCAGCCCUCACAGCACUCAUUACCCACUUUUGCGCGGGUGAGGACAGCGGCUGGCUCGUAGCUAAAACACAGCCAUCGAGGCAGGCCCCUCCGAGGCCAAGUAUAGCACUGGCAAGCUCCGGCGCAAUAGGCACAAACGCCGAAACAAUGGUGAUAACACCGAUGACACCACAGUUAACGCCGGAUUCAGCGGCUCCAAGUCCAACCAACGGAAGAAGCCCUAUAAAAGGAACGGUGGAGGACCAUCCAGCUUGGACCGCACACUCGAUCGUCCGUGCCAGAUACAUGGCACCCCAGACAAACCGGCAAACCAUACUAACAGAGAUUGCCGGGUCUUUAAGCAAGCCAGCAAGAUAAAUAGCGGAAACAAGGAAGGGGAAUCGCAGAGCGAGGACGAUGACGUGGAGCUCCGGCAGCGGAACACUGGGGGGCAGAAGAAAUUUCCCCCUCAAGUCAAAGCGGUGACCAUGAUAUACGCUACACACAUCCUCCAAAGGGAGCGCAAGCGAGCACUCAGGGACGUCUACGCGGUAGAGCCAGUCGCCCCAAAAUUCAAUCCAUGGUCGUCAUUCCCGAUCACCUUCGAUCGUCGAGAUCAUCCAACUAGUAUCCGGCAUGGUGGUUCAGCCGCACUGGUCCUCGACCCGAUCAACGGAUUUCACCUAACGCGAGUCCUAAUGGACGAUGGUAGCAGCCUCAACCUGCUCUAUCAGGACACAGUACGGAAGAUGGGCAUUAAUCCCUCACAAAUCAAACCCACAAAGACUACCUUUAAAGGAGUCAUACUAGGCGUAGAGGCCCGUUGUACGGGCUCAAUCAUGCUGGAGGUGGUCUUCGGUUCCCCGGACAACUUCCAAAGCAAGGAGUUAAUCUUUGAUAUCGUCCCCUUCCGCAGCGGCUACCACGCACUGCUCGGGCGAACCGCGUUUGCUAGAUUCAACGUGGUGCCACAUUAUGCUUACCUCAAGCUCAAGAUGCCCGGUCCACGCGGCAUCAUUACAGUAAAAUGGAAAUACGGAACGUUCCCUCCGCACAGAGGAGCACACCGCAGCCGUAGCAGCGGAAGUACUGAGCGGCCUUCUCAAGCGGCACCAUAAUCCGGCCGCCGACCCUUGGACAUCGUCACGAAGAUCCGGACUACACUGCAACAGGGCAGCUCGGUUCGUCAAGAGCUGAAUUAGUAAUUCGGCCUCUGUCCCAUCCCCGAUAAGGAAAUGGCAUUCGUAUAGCGCGUACAUAACUACGCACCCAAAACCCCAUGGGUACUGAUGGAGGCAUAACUCGCUCGCGACCCACAGUGCGGCUUGACCGACCCUGGGAUUUGCGCGCCUUUACUUUUGCUUUUCAUUUCAGGUUUUUCCCUUUUCAAGGUCUAUGCGGACGACCCGCUCGUAGAACACACCAAGGAGGCAAGGAGCUCUGGCAUACAAGGGAAUCCCCAGGUGGUCUCUACUAAAUGAUUGCCAUACCUGUUUUACUUGCCCGCACGCAGCUCGCCCUUGGUAGCGGCAUAUUAAAUAGCCUUACUUGCUUAUCGCUUUACUUGCACAAAGUACGCCUUGACGUACUAAUUACAUCACAAUGGUGAAUAAAUGGUGGCGUCAGCUUAUUACUUAAUUUUCCUGUUUUCUCACCUUUGUACUUAUUACUCAUCGCACAUGUACACCAUGGUACGUAUUACUACGCCAGGGGCUUCAUUACGCCUCGUGUUACGGCAAUAAAAGUCCGAACACUUUUACAGUGCAGUUCGGCACCCCGAACUUAUAGCAUUAUAUGCAUCGGCUCCGAAUCAUGUCUUUGGUCAAUAGUUGUGUUGCCCGGCUCCUGUGCUUACUACCUUACGUUUUGCUAUAUCGGCUAGGGUAGUAAAGGGAGAACUACUGCGAUUGUGUCCCGGUUCUUCCGGACGAGCACCUCAGUAGAGAAAGCCGAAAACUGACUGUCAUGAUGCAGCGCGAGCUAGUCAGCUGUUCGAGAGGUCCAAAAUCGUUAGAGAUUUUUUCCGCUUCUUGCGAAGAAUCGGUUCUCCCGAUUAGGCGAGUACAACGCCCCUAGUUCGGCAAUCUGAAUACCAGGGGCUUCGCUGACUUUCUUAAUUGUCAAGCUCCUAUGGCUAAGUGAGGGCGGUAAAGGCCGCAUAGUCUGAUUGCCUUGUUCGCUGCGCUAAACACCUCCUUUAAGGACCAGAAUGUGGAGUAAAGAGUGUUUAGAUUUAUCCCGAACACCCCCGUACUAUCUACAUGGGGGGAGAAGCCGACGACUGGUCAACCCUCAGAUUUCAUAAACGGCCGCACAGGAGGUAAAACGUAAAUCAAAAGCAUUAUAUUACAUAACAUCAUCAGUCCAUAUUAUAGGACAAGAUAAUACAAAUGUUCUCAUGGGAAUAUGACAUCCUUCGAACAUUGCUCCGCCACAAGGCGGGAUCCCUCCAGGACACCAUCAAAACAGAUCUCGGGUCGACGAUGCUCCUUGCCCUCCGGCGGCCCCUCAGUCAUCAGCUUCUUGGCAUCUAGCUUUGCCCAAUGCGUCUUGACGCGGGCAAACGCCAUACGCGCACCUUCAAUACAGACCGACCGCUUCACGGCUUCGAGCCGCGGACAUGCACUUACAAGCCGAUUAACAAGCCCGAAGUAGCUGUUAGGUACAGGCUCGGCAGGCCACAGCCGGACUAUCAGGUCCUUCAUGGCUAGCUCCGCCGACCUGUGCAGCUCGACCAACUGCUUCAGUUGGUCGCUGAAGGGCACCGGAUGUUCGGGUCCAAGAUAUUGGGACCAGAAUAGCUUCUCCGUCGACAUGCCUUCUUCAGCUCUAUAAUGCUCGGCAGCAUCCGAUAUACUGCGCGGCAGAUCCAUAAACGCCCCUCGAAAAACCAAAUUCGGAUAAGUACAAGGAACGUUUGUUCUACAUACUUGCUUUGCAUGGUGAAAGACUUACCCGCCGCAAUCUUCUUGGCCGCCUGAAUUUCCUGGAGGGCGUUCUGGGAUUCGGCUCGUGCAUCCUGUGCGCUCCGGCGGGCCUUCGCCAGUUCGGAUUCUUGCGCCUUACAAUCGCGCUCCAAGGACUCAAAUCUCUCGAUCGCGCCCUGGAGCUGUUGCUGCGCCUCGCCAACCCGGGCCUCGUGAUUCUCGCGCGCGGCGCGUUCCUUGGCCGCUUUGUCCUCGGCCUCGGCUAACGCCAUCUUGAGGGCUGCCACCUCGGUCGUGGCCCCUAGUAACGUUUAUAACACCUUAGUCCGGACGGACUAUUCCUUUUUUUUCUUAAAAUGUACCCGCAGGUUACUGCAUACCUUGGCUAUCCUCCAGCUGCUUCUUCGUGAGGCCGAGAUCCUCCUCGGCCCGCUCUAGCUUCCGCUUAAGUCUGGAGACCUCCGUAGCAUGAGAGGUGGCAGCCCGCAACGAUACCUGCUUAUUCACAUAGACAACUUAUGUUAGACUCCUGCAAUAUUUCUUCUUGAUCCUCUGUUCGGCUUUUUUCUUCCCGAACACCAAACAGAGCAUCAGGGGCUACUGUCUAUACUGUGACACUCUUCCUACAACCACAUUACUUACCUCAAAGCCCGAUAGAAGGCUAGUGCAGGCUUCGGUCAGCCUGCUUUUGACGAACUGAACCUUCUCUAUCAACGUGCCCAUAAGGGCGCGGUGUUCAUCCACAAUAGAUGUGCCAUGUAGCGCCUCCAGUAGAUUAUCCGGUGCCUCUGGUUGGACAGAGGUCACCGGCAGAAUAGGCACAUUCCUUCCUUUUCGGGAAUGCCGUUCGCUAGACUCCGGAGCCGCAUAGAUCUCCGGAAUAGUAUCCGGCUCCGGUCCGAAGAGAACUCGGCCCCCGUCACUAGCCCCCAUAGGGGAUUUUCCCCCAUGUGUCCGGCGACUGAGGAAUCAUCCUGGGGCGCCACCCCGACGAUCUCCGGAAGCUCCCCCCGGUCGGGAAAGGUCUUUUGCGACACCACCUUGUCGUCACCCUUGGGAGAGACGGAAUGCGCAGGUGGCGGAGACAUGCUAGCCAUCUCCUUUGAGUCUAGCGAUCCCUCUGUCGAGGAUCGCGGGGAGCCGUCGCAUGCCGGACUGCAAUGACAAGGUUUGAGAUACAUCAAUAUUACAAAACCAGGAAAGCCUGACAUUUUCAGACUCUGGUACUUACGAGGCGGCCCAAGGCUUGGUCCGGCGAGGUCGCUCCAGACUGCUAUCAACAUCCCACGCGGGGUUAUCCGCGAGGGAGCCUUUAACCCUCUUAGACGCUUUCGCCUCCGGGUUUGUGGGGGCCACUCUCUUCUUCCUCCCCACUUCAGGUGGUGAGUCGUUUUCUUCUUCCUCUUCAUCAUCGUCGUCAGCGAACGAAGAGGAAGUCUCGCUUUCGGACGUCACGUCCGGAGUGCCUUUUCGGCGAGGGCCCUUCUUGGCCCUUUUGGCCGUCUUCUCUGGCACCUCAUAAGGUGCAGGGGAAAACAUUUUAGUCAGUAAUGGGAAUUCUUGGUCUUCGGGCAGCGGAGCCGGACAGUUAAUCUCCUCUGCUACCUUGAUCCAGGCCUGAAAAUAGGGGUAGGAGAGCUUAGGCUUUUUCUCAAAAUAUGCUAGUAGAGGGUACUCCUUGAAAACAUUAAAGGAACUUACCAAGUUAGCCUGGCGUUUUAAGCUAAGCCCGCGAUCUUCGGUCGUGGGCGGUGGCGUCUUGCCGGCCUUGAAGAGCACUUUCCAGAUUUCUUCGUGCGUCGUGCCGGAGAGCUCUAGCAGCGUUUGGUGCUUGGCCGGAUCGUACUCCCACAGAUAGCAAGUCCGGCGUUGGCACGGAAGGACCUGACGAAUGAGCAUGACCUGGACCACGUUGACGAGCUUGAUCUUCCUGUCUAUCAUAUUCUGGACGCACGUCUGGAGCCCAGAUAGCUCGUCCGAGGGACCCCAGGUUAGGCCCCUCUCUUGCCAGGAGGUGAGCCGCAUCGGGAUUCCGGAUCGGAAUUCGGGGACCGCCGCCCAAUUGGUGUCGCGCGGCUCGGUGAUACAGAACCACCCUGAUUGCCAUCCCUUCACCGUCUCCGUGAAUGUGCCUUCGGGCCAGGUAACGUUGGGCAUCUUGCCCAGCAUGGCGCCUCCGCACUCUGCUUGUUGGCCGCUCACCACCUUUGGCUUCACAUAGAAGGUCUUCAGCCAUAGGCCGAAAUGAGGCGGGAUGCGGAGAAAGGCCUCGCACACGACAAUGAAUGUCGUGAUAUUGAGAGUGAAGUUAGGAGCUAGGUCAUGAAAGUCUAGCCCGUAGUAAAACAUCAGUCCAUGGACGAAGGGGUGAAGAGGGAAGCCCAACCCGCGGACGAAAUGUGUAAGAAAAACAACCCUCUCGUGGGGCUCUGGAGUAGGGACGUUCUGUCCCUUGGCCGGGAGUCUGUGAGCUAUCUCCUUGGCCAGAUAUCCUGCCUCCCGGAGCUCUUUGAUAUCGCUCUUCUUGACGGAGGAGGCCAUCCACUUGCCUCCAGCUCCAGAUCCAGACAUCUUGGGAUUACUUUCUCGGACGAGGGAAAAGCUAAAGACUUGGGCGCUGGAGCUCAGGGAUGGAAGGACUGAGGAGGAACCGAGGUGUGGGUGAAGAAAGGGAAUUCUCAUCCCCUUAUAAAGGCCAUGAAUAUCAAGCGCCUCCUCACUCGCCUUAAACUCGCCUAUUCCCAAGCGUCGUGUGAACGGCAUGGUUGGGUCACCCACACCCGCAUUGAUGAGAAUCCCGCAAUAAGGGGACACGAUCUCUGCUUUGACAGGACGUGCCAAUGGCAACUGCGUCUCGAAACGUGGAGCAGAAGACCAAAAACGGUUCGAAAUUGUGACUGGUCAGGCAUGAUGUCACGCUGCAAAAAAGUUGUCAGCAGAUGGAACUCGUGUAAAAAUAUAUUCUCUCUGCGGUUGUGUAUGGUGUGUGACAGGUCCGGAUACUAUCAUCACAUCCGAAGACUAUCUUGGAGUUCAGAAAAAGGGGAACCCGCCUUCCAAUGCCGAAGACAAUCUGCGCGCCGGACUCCUUGUCAUUGAAGCCAAGUUCAGGGGCUACUGAGGGAGUCCUGGACUAAGGGGUCCUCGGGCGUCCGGCCUGUUAUCCAUGGGCCGGACUAAUGGGUUGUGAAGACAUGAAGGCCGAAGGCUGUACCCGUGUCCGGAUUGGACUCUACUUGGCGUGGAAGGCAAGCUUGGCAACCGAUUAUGAAGAUUCCUUCUUAUGUAACCGACUCUAUGUAACCCUAGAUUCCCCCCGGUGUCUAUAUAAACUGGAGGGGUUAGUCCGGAAAGUACACAUAUAUAUUCAUUACCAUAGUCAUACAGGCUAGGCUUCUAGGGUUUAGCCAUUACGAUCUCGUGGUAGAUCAACUCUUUUAAUACUCAUAUUCAUCAAGAUCAAUCAAGAAGGAAGUAGGGUAUUACCUCCAUAGAGAGGGCCCGAACCUGGGUAAAACAUCGUGUCCCCCGUCUCCUGUUACCAUCGAUCCUAGAUGCACAGUUCGGGACCCCCUACCCGAGAUCCGCCGGUUUUGACACCGACACCUGCUACCUUCCAAAGAUGCAUGACUGCUAUAUCCUCUGACUUUUGUGAAAAGAUUGUUGAGGUUUUCAUGGAUGACUUUUCUGUUUAUGGAAAGUCUUUUCAUGAUUGUUUAAGCAAUCCUGAUCGAGUCUUGAAGAGAUGUGAACAAACAAACCUUGUCUUGAAUUGGGAGAAGUGCCACUUUAUGGUUAACGAAGGUAUUGUUUUGGGCCAUAAAAUUUCUGAGAGGCAUUGAGGUGGACAAAGCUAAGGUUGAUGCAAUUGAGAAAAUGACAUGUCCUAAAGAUAUCAAAGGUAUUUGUAGUUUCCUUGGUCAUGCUGGUUUCUAUAGGAGAUUUAUCAAAGACUUUUCUAAAAUUUCUAGGCCUCUUACAGAUAUUUUGCAAAGGGAAAUUCCUUUUGUUUUUUAUGAUGAUUGUUUAGAAGCCUUCGAAACACUCAAGAAAGCAUUAAUUUCUGCACAUAUUGUUCAACCACCUGAUUGGAACUUGCCUUUUGAAAUUAUGUGUGAUGCUAGUGAUUAUGUUGUUGGUGCUGUUCUAGGACAAAGAGUUGAUAAGAAACUGAAUGUUAUUCAUUAUGCUAGUAAAACUCUAGACAGUGAUCAACAAUAUUAUGAUACUACUGAAAAAGAAUUCCUAGCAGUGGUGUUUGCUUGUGAUAAAUUUAGAUCCUACAUUUUUAUUCUAAAGUUAUUGUCCACACCGAUCAUGCUGCUAUAAAAUAUCUUAUGGAAAAGAAAGAUGCUAAGCCUAGGCUUAUUCGAUGGGUUAUCUUGCUACAAGAAUUUGAUUUGCAUAUCACUGAUAGAAAAGGAGCUGAGAACCCCGUAGCUGAUAACUUGUCUAGGCUUGAAAAUGUUCUUGAUGACCCACUUCCUAUUGAUGAUAGUUUUCCUGAUGAGCAGUUAGCUGCAAUAAAUGUUUCUCAUAAUACCCCUGGGUAUGCUGACUAUGCUAAUUACAUUGUUGCUAAAUAUCUACCACCUAGUUUCACAUACCAACAAAAGAAAAUUUUCUUCUAUAAUUUAAGACAUUACUUUUGGGAUGACCCACAUCUUUAUAAAGAGGAGUAUAUGGUAUUAUUAGACGUUGUGUACCUGAGUAUGAACAGAAACAAAUCCGACGGAAAUGUCACUCCGAAGCUUAUGGAGGACAUCAUGCGGAAGACAAAACUGCUCACAAGGUAUUGUAAUCUGGGUUUUAUUGGCCUACUCUCUUCAAGGAUGCCCGUAAGUUCGUCUUAUCUUGUGAUGAAUGUCAAAGAAUAGGUAAUAUCCGUAAGCAUCAAGAAAUGCCUAUGAAUUAUUCACUUGCUGUUGAACCAUUUGAUGUUUGGGGAUUCGAUUACAUGGGACCUCUUCCUUCCUCUAAUGGGUAUACUCAUAUUUUGGUUGUUGUUGAUUAUGUUACUUAGUGGGUAGAAGCUAUUCCAACCAGUAGUGCUGAUCACAAUACCUCUAUUAAAAUGCUCAAAGAAGUUAAUUUUCCCAAGGUUUGGAGUCCCUAGAUAUUUAAUGACUAAUGGUGGUUCACACUUUAUUCAUGGUGCUUUCCGUAAAAUGCUUGCCAAGUAUGAUGUUAACCAUAGAAUUGCAUCACCCUAUCAUCCUCAGUCUAGUGGUCAAGUUGAACUUAGCAAUAGAGAAAUAAAAUUAAUUUUGCAAAAGACUGUCAAUAGGUCCCGGAAGAAUUGGUCUAAGAAAUUAGAUGAUGCACUUUGGGCUUAUAGAACAACAUAUAAAAAUCCUAUGGGUAUGUCUCCUUAUAAAAUGGUUUAUGGAAAAGCUUGUCAUUUGCCUCUUGAGUUGGAACAUAAAGCUUACUGGGCAAUUAAAGAACUCAACUAUGAUUUCGAACUUGCUGGUGAAAAGAGGUUAUUUUAUAUUAGCUCAUUAGAUGAAUGGAGAACCCAAGCUUAUGAAAAUGCCAAGUUGUUUAAAGAAAAAGUUAAAAGAUGGCAAGAUAAAAGAAUCCAAAAGCGUGAGUUCAAAGUUGGAAAAUAUGUUCUUCUGUACAACUCUCGUUUUAGAUUCUUUGCAGGAAAACUCUUCUCCAAAUGGGAAGGACCCUAUGUUAUCGAGGAGGUUUAUCGAUCUGGAGCUAUCAAAAUAAAUAAUGCCGAAGGUACUAACCCGAAGGUUGUUAAUGGGCAACGAAUAAAACAUUAUAUCUCAGGUACGCCCAUUAAUGUUGAAAGCAAUAUUAUCCAAACGGUGACACCGGAAGAACACAUAAAAGAAACCUUCCGGAACACUCCAGAAUCGUGAAAAAGAGGAGGUACGUGAUACGGUAAGUAAACGGACUCCAAAAAAUAUGCAAAAAUAUUUUUUGUCCAUUUUGGAAUAUUACAAAAAUUAGGAAAAUAAGAAACUACCAGGAAGGUGACCCUGGUGGGCACAAGACACCAGGGCGUGCCCAGGUGGGUUGUGCCCGCCUGGGGUACCUUCCGGACUCCGUUUUUCUUCCAUUUGCUUGUUUUCCAAUAUAAAAAAAUCUUUACAUGCCCCCCGAACCUAUUGACCACCGUAUCACAGAGAAAUCUUCUGUUUUCUUUUCCUUGCUGUUAUCUGACAGAUCCCAUCUACCAUGGCCGCUUCAAGCUCCUCCAAGGACAAGUUCUUCAAGAACGUCAUCAACCCAUAUUUGCGGGAGGUGGUGCAGCACCCUCAGGUCAUCCAGAUGCAUGAGGGGGUGCUUCACAUCCGUGAUGUGCAAGGUCCCAAGGGGACGGGAACCAUGGAGGCCAGGCUUGAAGCUAUGGAGCAGGAGGUCUUCCAGAGCAAAGGGAUGGUGGAGCGUGGACUCAAUGCCAAUAACCUCAUGAUCAUGGAGUUUACCCGUGAUCUCAAGGUGGAUGGCAAGUCCAUGAAGGACAUCGUUUUCACCUUCAACGAGCAAAUCAACUUCCUCCAAAGCCAGAUCUACGAUCUCCAAAACCAAGUCUUUCAAUAUGAGGCGAGGUUUAAAGGUAUGAGUUUGGCUGCCAGUUGCAGGACCUGUGAGACUCAUUCCUCCUCUUAUGAUGGUGGACCUCUGCCAUGGAAACCUGAGGACAAGAUCUCUACUUCAUCAUCACCACCACCUCCUUCUUCAUCACCAAAAGAAAAUUGAGUAUCGGGUAUGGGCACUCCCCUUGGCUUACGUCAAGCUUGGGGGAGGUGCCCCGGUAUCAUAUCACCCCCACUAUCUUUUGCCUUUACUUAUCUUAGUUCGAUCCAUAGUUAUCUUUUGCUUUGGAUGAAUAAAAGUUUAGUUCGAUUCCUUCUUUUCGAGAGUUUUCUUAGUGAUCUAUCCUUGUAAUUGUGUGCGAGAUAUAUAAUAAAGUUAGUUUGAGUUUUGCUUUCUUUAUUUUCAUGUUGCAAUAAAAAUAAAGGAAAGAAAUGAAAAAGAUCAUAUGCUAAUCUUAUGGUAAGUAAUGACAUCACAUAAGGAAAAGUAUAAUUAGAAAAAUUUAUUGAAGAUUGACAAACAUAGCAUUGGUCAAUGAUGCAACUCAUGAAAGAAUUAAUAAGGGAAGAGAAGAUUCACAUGCAAAUACACUAUCCUGGAAAUCUUUUGUGAUUGUGAGCCCCCAUCAAAAUAUUAUAUGCCAAAAUUGUUGACGUUGGACAAGGAAGACAACGUAAUGAUUUAUGUUUGUUCAUAUUCACAUAGAAGUUAUAUUGUCAUAGAUCCUUCAACAUGUGGUGCUUGCUCCCCAUCUUUGCUAGCCAAAAAUUCCGCACUAAGUAGAGAUACUACUUGUGCAUCCAAAAACCCUUAAACUCAAAUCUUAUUUUCAAGAGUUCACCAUACCUACCUAAGGAUUGAGUAAGAUCCUUCAAGUAAGUUGUCAUCGGUGCAAUAAGGCAACAAAAAUUGCUUCUAAAAGUGUUAGAUCAUUUAGUGUAAGAGAAAAUUGAGCGUUGUACGAACUUGUGAUAGCAAAGAAUAAAAGCGACAGACUGCAUAAUAAAGGUUUCUAUCAUAAGGGGCAAUAUAACGUGACGUUCUUUUGCACUAAGGGGUUGAGCAUGCAAACAAAAAGCGCAUGGAAACCUCUGCUUCCCUUUGCGAAGGGCCUAUCUUUUACUUUUACGCAUUUACUUUCAUGCAAGAGUCAAAGUUCUUCUCUCUUUUCCUUUUUAUUUUCUAUUUUGGCAAGCAUCAUGUGGUGAGGAAAGAUCGAGGCACAUAUAUCUAGUUGGAUGUGUGGGUAGCACAAGUUAUUAUUGUUGACAUCACCCUUGAGGUGAAUACAUUGGGAGGCGAAACUUUAAGCCCCUAUCUUUCUAUGUGUCCGGUUGAAAUGUUUUGCUCAUGUGUAUGCGGUGAGUGUUAGCAAUCAUAGAAGACUAUAUGAUGGUUGAGUAUGUGGACUUGCCUAAAGGCUCCGAUACGUGACCCUUCCUGAAAAGAUGAUGAAUUGUAGUUGCAAAGUUGACUGAGAACAUAGUUUGUUGGUUUCCAAUAGAGUUUAUGCUUUAUACUUAGAUAGUGUAAUGAAUUGUUACUUAUUCAUGAGAAGUCUAUGAUAAAGUUCUAUAAUAAUGUUUUACAUUUAAGUUUGUUGCUGUUAUAAUAAUCUACAUGAUGCUUCUAUGUCUGUAUUUUGUUUUAUCGACACCUCUCUCUCUCUCUCUAAGCAUGUGGACAUGUUUUUCGAUUUCGGUUUUCGCUUGAGGACAAGCGAGGUCUAAGCUUGGGGGAGUUGAUACGUCCAUUUUGCAUCAUGUUUACCCACUGUUAUUUUUAAUAUUUUUAUGCAUAAUAAUGCUUUUUGGAGUAAUUAUAAUGCCUUUUCUCUCAUAAUACGCAAGGUUCACACAAAGAGGGAGAAUUCCGGCAGCUGGAAAUCUGGACCUAGAAAAGCUAUGUCAGGCCACCUAUUCUGCACAACUCCAAAUGAGCUGAAACUUCACGAGGAUUUUUUAUGGAAUAAAUAAAAAAUACUGGAGCAAAUAACUAUCGGAGGGGAGCCACCUGGUGAGCACAAGACACCAAGGCGCGCCUAGCCCCCCGGGCGCGCCCUGGUGGGUUGUGCUCAGCCCAGCCCACCACUGCUGCCCAUCUUCUGGUAUAUAAGUUAUUUUGACCUAAAAAAAUGAGGAGAGGACUUUCGGGAUGGAGCGCCGCCGUCUCGAGGCGAAACUUGGGCAGGAGCACUUUUGCCCUCCGGCAGAGCGAUUCCACCGGGGGAACUUCCCUCCCGGAGGGGGAAAUCAUCGUCAUCAUCAUCACCAACAACUCUCCCAUCUUGGGGAUGGCAAUCUCCAUCAACAUCUUCAAAAGCACCAUCUCCUCUCAAACCCUAGUUCAUCUCUUGUGUUCAAUCUUUGUACCGAAACUCUAGAUUGGUGCUUGUGGGUGACUAGUAGUGUUGAUUACAUCUUGUAGUUGAUUACUAUAUGGUUUAUUUGGUGGAAGAUUAUAUGUUCAGAUCCAUUAUGCUAUUUAAUACCCCUCUGAUCUUGAGCAUGAUUAUCAAUUGUGAGUAGUUACUUUUGUUCUUGAGGUCACGGGAGAAAUCUUGUUGCAAGUAAUUAUGUGAACUUGAUAUGUGUUCGAUAUUUUGAUAGGAUGUAUGUUGUGAUUCCCUUAGUGGUGUCAUGUGAACGUCGACUACAUGACACUUCACCAUAUUUGGGCCUAAGGGAAUGCAUUGUGGAGUAGUUAUUAGAUGAUGGGUUGCGAGAGUGACAGAAGCUGAAACCCUAGUUUAUGCGCUAUUCCGUAAGGGACCCAUUGGAUCCAAAAGUUUAAUGCUAUGGUUAGAAUUUAUUCUUAAUACUUUUCUCGUAGUUGCAGAUGCUUGCGAGGGGGUUAAUCAUAAAUAGGAGGUUUGUUCAAGUAGGAACAGCACCUAAGCACCGGUCCACCCACAUAUUAAAUUAUCAAAGUAGCGAACACGAAUCGAACCAACAUGAUGAAAGUGACUAGAUGAAAUUCCCGUGUACCCUCAAGAACGCUUUGCUUAUUAUAACAGACCAUUUUGGCCUGUCCUUUGCCUCAAAAGGAUUGGGCUACCUUGUUGCACUUUUUUUACUACUAUCGUUACUUGCUCGUUACAAAUUAUCUUGCUAUCAAACGACUCUAUUACUUACAAUUUUAGCACUUGCAGACAUUACCUUGCUGAGAACCACUUGUCAUUUCCUUCUGCUCCUCGUUGGGUUCGACACUCUUACUUAUCGAAAAGGCUACAAUUGAUCCCAUAUCUUGUGGGUCAUCAAGAAUCAUUAGUGGAAACAAGAGAACUACUAGAAGCAACAACAUUAGAUUUAACAUGAUUGUUGUUACUACUAGAAGAAGAAUCUUUCUUGCUCUUGUUGCUAGAUUUUACUUGUGGCAUGUAAGUAGACAAGAGUAAACGCUCGGCAAUGUAAGAAGAAUUUUUGUUACGAAGAUCAUCAUUGAUUGCUUUUAAGAACCCAUGCUCUUGCUCUAGAUUGAACUUUUCAAAGCGUAGCUUCUCAUGAGUCUUUAAAAGCUCUCGAUGAUCCUCUAAAGUAGUUUCAUGAGCUAACUUAAGAGUGUUUAGUUCUUUAGUUAGACGCUCAAUCUCCUUCUUAUCAUUGUUAUUCGUUUCAUCUUGAUUAGCAUGAUUAAUAGCGAUUUCAUCAUUGUUUUCAUCACUAGAGUUGUCAACAAGUAAAUCAUCAUCACCUAGCAAAUCAUCUUCAUCACUAUUGAAAUCAACAUACUCGGGGUGUGAUACCUUGGGGCCUUUAGCCAUGAAGCAUCUUCCAAUCCCUUCAUUUGGUGAAUCAAAUAUGUCGUAGGAGUUGGAUGACACAAGUGCAAGACCGGCAACACCUUCAUCUUGAGUAUAUUCGGAGUCAGAGUGAUAGCUUCUCUCGGAGUAGUUGUCGGAGUCGGAACCGGAUACCCAUUCAUUAACAUGAGCUCGAUGUCUUCGUCUUGUGUAGCUCUUUGAUGACUUGCACUUCCUUUCUGAAUCCUUGUUUCUGCGAGAGGGUCUCCGUUCAUAACGAUCAUUUCCACUCCUUGUCUCUCUUGGUGGUGAUUCCUCUCUUUUACUUCUCCGUUUAGGUGAGUCUUCUCUUCUUUUGUAGGGAGCCGUACACUCACUAGAGUAGUGUCCAGGUCUUCCACAAUUGUAGCAAUUGCGAUCACGACUAGAAGAUCUUUUGUCAUUGUAGGACCUUGACUUGGAACUUCUCUCUUUGCUUCUACUCUUGUAGAACUUGUUGAAGUUCUUCACCAUAGGCUCAAUUCUUCAUUGAAGGCUUGUUUCUCACUUGAUGUUGUAGGAGCAUCACAUGUAGCUUUGUAAGCACCACUAGACUUGUUGUGAAGCUCUUCCUUAUCCUUGAGUGACAUCUCAUGAGCAACAAUUCUACCAAUGACUUCCGUUGGCUUGAGAUCUUUGUAAUUGGGCAUCAUUUGGAUCAAGGUGCACACGGUAUCAUAUUUUGCAUCCAAGGCUCUUAGGAUCUUCUUGAUGAUGAAUCUGUCGGUCAUCUCUUCACUUCCUAAGCCGGCAAUCUCAUUUGUGCUGAGAGCAAGCCUAGAGUACAUUUCAGCGACUCCUUCACCAUCCUUCAUUUUGAACUUGUCAAGUUGACUUUAAAGCACGUCCAAUUUGGAUUCCUUGACGGACUCGGUACCUUCGUGCAUAUCAACCAAAGCAUCCCAAAUUUCCUUUGCAUUCUCAAGAUGGCUGAUUUUGUUGAAUUCUUCGGGGCACAACCCGUUGAAAAGAAUAUCGCAAGCUUGAGCAUUGUAUUGCAACAUCUUCAAUUCUUCCGCGGUCGCUUCACGAUUCGGUUCUCUUCCAUCUUCGAAGAAUUCACCUUGCAAGCCAAUACACACAAUAGCCCAAACGACGGGGUUAUGUCCAAGAAUAUGCAUUUUCAUCUUAUGCUUCCAACUAGCAAAAUUAGUACCAUCAAAGUAAGGACCUCUACGGUGGUAAUUUCCCUCGCUAGACGCCAUACUCUCCUAGGUUGUGAAACUAAGGCUAUGAUCACCAAAGCUAUGGAAAUAAAGGCAAAUGGAGACCAAAGCUCUGAUACCACUUGUAGGAUCGAAAGUAGGUCUAGAGUGGGGGUGAUUAGACUACUUGACCAAAUAAAAAUCUAGCCUUUUCCCAAUUUUAAGUCUUGGCAUAUUUUAGCAACUUAGCACAAGUCAAGCAAUCAACCUACACAUGCAAUUCUAAGAAUAUAGCAGCGGAAAGUAAAACAUUACAUAUGAAGGUAAAGGGAAGGGUUUGGAGAAGUCAAACGCAAUGUAGACACGAAGAUUUUUGGCGUGGUUCCGAUAGGUGGUGCUAUCGUACGUCCACGUUGAUGGAGACUUCAACCCAUGAAGGGUAACGGUUGCGCGAGUCCACGGAGGGCUCCACCCACGAAGGGUCCACAAAGAAGCAACCUUGUCUAUCCCACCAUGGCCAUCGCCCACGAAGGACUUGCCUCACUUGGGUAGAUCUUCACGAAGUAGGUGAUCUCCUUGCCCUUACAAACUCCUUGGUUCAACUCCACAAUCUUGACGGAGGCUCCCAAGUGACACCUAACCAAUCUAGGAUACACCACUCUCCAAAAGGUAAUAGAUGGUGUGUUGAUGAUGAACUCCUUGCUCUUGUGCUUCAAAUGAUAGUCUCCCCAACACUCAACUCUCUCACACAUAUUUGGCUAUGGUGGAAAGAUAAUUUGAGUGGAAAGCAACUUGGGGAAGGCUAGAGAUCAAGAUUCUUGUGGUUGGUUUGGAAUGUCUUGGUCUCAACACAUGAGUAGGUGGUUCUCUCUCAGAAAAUGAGUAGUGGAAGUGUAGGCAUGUUCUGAUGGCUCUCUCUUGAAUAGAGAAGGGGGUGGAGGGGUAUAUAUAGCCUCCACACAAAAUCUAACCGUUACACACAUUUGACCCAACUCGGUCAGACCGAAUAGGUGAACUGGGUGAGACUGAUUCAGUUCAAAAUGUGAACGUUAGGAUUCUCGAUGGGACCGACAUGAUCAACUCGGUGGGACCGAUGCGCUAGGGUUAGGGCAAAACCUCAUCUCGGUGGGACCGAUUGCAUGAACUCGGUGAUACCAAUUUUCAGCAAUCAGCAAAUAGAGAGUUGGUCAGGAAAACUCGGUGGGACCGAUCGCUCCUUUCGGUAAGACCGAAACAUUACGAAAGGGAAACAGAGAAUUUGCAUUGCGAACUCGGUGGGACCGAUCGCUCAUUUCGGUGAGACCGAAAUGUUACGAAGGGAAACAGAGAGUUUGCAAUCCCAUCUCGAUGAGACCGAAAUCCCUAUCGCUGAGACCGAACUGAUUAGGGUUUCUGGCUAUGGCUAUGUGGAAGAAACUCGAAGGCGUCGGAUAGAUCAAAUCGGUGGGGCCGAGUUUGACUUUAGGUUUAGGACAUAUUUGGAUUUGAGAAAGUGGUUGAUGGCUUUGGAGCAUGUCACUAAGCAUUUUGAGCAAGUAGAUCAUUAAGCAACACCUCAUCCCCUUUUAAUAGUAUUGACUUUUCCUAUGGACUCAAUGUGAUCUUGGAUCACUAAAAUAGAAAUGUAGAGUCUUGAGCUUUUGCCAAUAUUUGUCCUUAGCAUUUUGAGGGGUCCACACCUCUAGUCCAUGACAUGCCAAUCGUUGAACUUUCUGAAAUAAUCAACUUGAAUGGAUAUUAGUUCAAUGGGCUAUAUGUUGUUAUGAAUUACCAAAACCACCCGGGGAUUAGUUGCACUUUUAGCGGUGGUCUGGGUUGGCUCACGGCGGCGGUUGGAUAUCUCUAGCGUCGGUUCGUCGGUGAGCGGUCUGUUACGGCUUCGACCCCUCUCCUCGUCGUCCGAGCGUUACCCAUGUCGAAGGGCUGGCCUUCUCCUAGUUGUGGUCCAGUGCUCGUCUCGCGCCCGGUGUUGCGGGACUGAGUUCAUCUCGCGCCCGGCAGCAGGACCAAACUUGUCUCGCGCCCGGCAGCAGGACCGAGCUCAUCUCGCGCCCGAUUGCAGGACCGAGCUCGUCUCACGCCCGGUGCAACAGGACGGGUCGACGGAGGCCAGUUUUGGCCGGCCUAUAGGGUCUCAGCGCUGGGGCCGCCCAGGGGUGUGAAAGGCAAGGCCUUUCCACUCGUCUCUUUAGUUGGGGUAGCGACAUGUCUUGGGUGAAGUGGCGUCAAGGUCUUGGAUGCCGGGGCGGCGGUCCUGGUGGUGGUAGCCCAGUGACCAUGGUCGUGUAGGCAGCAUGGUGGUCGGGCUAUGGCGUUUGGUGGCAUGAGUGUUGGCCGGGGUGAAAACAUGUUCUAUCUUUGGAUGGACCGACGACAGCGUAGCGCGUUCCCUUCUUGAAGGCGUCGUCGCGGCUCUCAUCGGUCAUCAUGCUACUCCAGGGAAAACUCUAAUCCUCGGGCUGGGCAGUGGCGGCGUGUUGGAGUCGUAACCUUCUUGAAGGCGCCGCCUUGGAGCAAACGGUUCGUCAUAUAUGGCUUCAUCUCUUUGCAGUGGCGUGUUCACGAGGGAGGACCCCGAUUGCUUUUAUAGUGUUAGGGUGGUGUUGCUGCACUCAGCGCCUAUGUAUCCCGCCUUGGGUGUGUGCGUGCGUUGUCGUGGGGUGCGUUUGUACUUGGGCUAUGGUUGAUCAUUGCUUUAUAUAUAAAGCGAGUCGAAAGCCUUUUUCGGUAAGUAUCAUAACUUAUCGGAAUGAAGGAUGUGUGUGAAACUUGCAGCCACGAUGGGGAUGUGGGGCCCAUGUGACCCAUGAUACGGCCAUUUUGCAUCAUCAUUUCUUAUCACAAAUUGCUCAAUUAUAACUAUGUUUUACAUAUUAUAUAUAUCACCAUUCUUACCUCCCUUUUCAUUUUAUUUUGCAAGAUUGCAACUAGAAGGGGGGGAGGGGGAGUGCCGGAAAAGAUGUCCCGAGGGACCAAAAUGAGCCAAACGAGAAACUGUUUUUUCAGGACCAAGGAAAAAAUCUAGAGAAAAUCGAAAGCUCAUCUAUGCCUAAUAAAAAAUAAGUCACCAAAAAAGCUGUCUGGAAGGACCAAAAGUCGUCGUAGUUGGUGCGAAUGAGCACUGGGAAGGAGAGGUUGGUGCUGCCGCCGGAGUCACGUGAAACUUUAUGUCCUUAGGGUGUCCUUUCUAACUCUAAGGAAUCAUUUCAGCCCUAGGGUGUAACACCCCGCAUGUAACUUGCCAUAUUUGUAACUCCGACUCUUGCCAUUUCCGGCUAUGUGUCAUGAUUUUCCCUCCGUUGUCGGGUUUUGUCUUUCGUUUUGUAUUUUGUCAUGUCAUGCAUUUUCAUAUCAUGUCAUCAUGUGCAUUGCAUUUGCAUACGUGUUCGUCUCAUGCAUCCGAGCAUUUUCCCCGUUGUCCGUUUUCCAAUCCGGCGCUCCUAUCUCCUCCGGUGCACCCCUCUUGUUUUCUUUCGUGUGCGGGUGUCAAACUUUUUCGGAAUGGACCGAGGCUUGUCUAGUGGCCUUAAUAUACCACCCGGAGACUACCGGUCAAGUUUCGUUCCAUUUGGAGGUCGUUUGGUACUCCAACGGUUAACCGGGCUUCCGCAAUGUCCAUUUAAGUGUCCAGCAAAAACCCCCUCUAAAACCAGCCCAAAACCCACCAAACUCCCUUCCAUGCUCUAGGUCGUUCGAUCACGAUCGUGUGGGCGAAAACCGCACCUCAUUUGGAGCCUCCUAGCUCCCUCUACCUAUUUAUAUGUGGGCAUCCCGAAAUACCAAUCUCAGUCCAAACCCUAGCUUCGUCCCUCCGCGCGCCGGACACGUCCGCCCGGCGCNNNNNNNNNNNNNNNNNNNNNNNNNNNNNNNNNNNNNNNNNNNNNNNNNNNNNNNNNNNNNNNNNNNNNNNNNNNNNNNNNNNNNNNNNNNNNNNNNNNNNNNNNNNNNNNNNNNNNNNNNNNNNNNNNNNNNNNNNNNNNNNNNNNNNNNNNNNNNNNNNNNNNNNNNNNNNNNNNNNNNNNNNNNNNNNNNNNNNNNNNNNNNNNNNNNNNNNNNNNNNNNNNNNNNNNNNNNNNNNNNNNNNNNNNNNNNNNNNNNNNNNNNNNNNNNNNNNNNNNNNNNNNNNNNNNNNNNNNNNNNNNNNNNNNNNNNNNNNNNNNNNNNNNNNNNNNNNNNNNNNNNNNNNNNNNNNNNNNNNNNNNNNNNNNNNNNNNNNNNNNNNNNNNNNNNNNNNNNNNNNNNNNNNNNNNNNNNNNNNNNNNNNNNNNNNNNNNNNNNNNNNNNNNNNNNNNNNNNNNNNNNNNNNNNNNNNNNNNNNNNNNNNNNNNNNNNNNNNNNNNNNNNNNNNNNNNNNNNNNNNNNNNNNNNNNNNNNNNNNNNNNNNNNNNNNNNNNNNNNNNNNNNNNNNNNNNNNNCCUCUGCCCCGCGCCCUCCGGCCUCCCCUUCACCUCCGGCGUCGGUCGCCAUCGCCAGCUCCGCCCUCUUCUCCGGUGAGGACUCGCGCCAGAUCCGAUCGAUCGGGAUCCAGUCACUGUAGCGUUGACUUCUCGCCCCCCCCCCCUAUUUUUCUCCAAGUGUUGGAAUUUUCUCAGUAUGUGCCUCUGUUCGUGAUGCCAUAACUUUAUGCAUGUAGCUCCGAUUCGCGCGUGUAAUAUGUCAAAUUGUUCGUCUCAUGAUGCUCUACAUUUUGUUCAAUUGCACCAUGUUCAUUAGGGGUCAUCUUGAUGCUCAAAUCUCUGUUGGAAGAGGGCUAGUUGCUGUUAUUCUCUGGUUCUUAUCGGAACUUGGAGAUUUGUCAUUUUUGCAUCAUUUAAUCUGUGCAUCUUAUGAGCAUGAGCUCUACAUGUGUUUUGAAGUAUGCCAUGCCAUCUUUCCAAGGGUGUAUGCCAUGUAUUUUUGUGAUCUCUGUGGUGACUAGCACAAGCAUGCAAAGUAGGCCCCGUAAUGUUUCUGAUUUCAGGGACUUAGUGAUUUCUCUAAGUUUUUGUCUGCUGUUAUUUUGUUGCCUUGUAAACUUGAUGCUACAGAGAGAUCCAUGCAUAUUUUGGAGAUGUUCAGUAAGGAUGUUUUGUAGCUAUAGUUGUAAUUGAUCCAUUCCUGUAAUUGUUUGCAAUUAUGGAGUGCCAUAGCAUGACUCAAUCUUGCUCUACUAUUGCUAUAAAAUAUUUCUGGCAGAUUCUUAACAUGAUAUGCAAUUUUGCCAAGCUUAUUGUAGUUGAUCCAUACAUGCUAUGCAAUUGUUCUUGCCAUGGUUAGCUUCAUAAACAUGCCAUCUUGCUGUAGGUAUGCUUGGUUUGUCAUGCAUUUCUCUGUAGUGAGUGCAUCAAGCUCACAAAGAGGCCUACAUAUUAUUAUUUCUGCCAUGCUCUGUUUUCUACUAAGUCUGGAACCUGAUAACGAAACUUGCUAUGUUUACAUGCUUUCCAUCAUAUCUUCUGAUCCUUUUUGGCUUAUGGUCAGUAAGGGACUUUUGUCAUAUGCAUUUAGUAGAACACUACCAUGCCUUGUUUUGCUAUGUUAAGUUUCUGUAGCAUGUUGAUUUCGUGCUCUGAACAUUGCUACCUGAUGCUGUUUUCUGCCAUGUCCAGUUUUUCACUAAGUCUGUGAUCCUGUUAUCUUUUGCACUUUUACCAUGCUUGUUUGAGCUUGAUAUGUUGUGAACUAGCCGUAGCUCAGUGUUCAUCUUUUGUCAAGCAUCUCCUGUAGAUUACUUCCAUGUUCUUUGUUGCUAUGUUGGAGUGCUGUAGCAUUGUUGCUUGUUGCAUUUUAAGUGCUAUCAUGCUGUUAAUCGCAGAUUCGUGUCAUUCUUGUUUUGCUUGCCAUUUGCAAACCGUGCAUCCGAUUCCAGUGAUCUUUAUAUCGAUUUCGACCGAAAUCAUCUCAUCUUUCCAGUGGCAUGCUUGGUUUGCCAAGUUACUGCCAUGUUCAUCAUUUUCCUUCCGGAGCACGCAUAUGCAUCGCAUAUCAUAUCUUGCAUAUCAUACAUGUUUUGCAUCAUGUUGCUUGUGCAUUUCUCGUUGUUGAUUGUGGUUCCGCUUGUUUGUGUUCUUGUCCUGGGUAGAGCCAGGAGACGAGUUCGUGAACGAGGAACCUGUUGAGUACGCUUACGAGGAUCAAGCUUUCGACAACUCUGAGAACCUUGCAGGCAAGAUGACCACCCCUCGAAAUCACUUUUAUCUUUGCUUUGCUAGUUGUUCGCUCUAUUGCCAUGCUCCGCUACCUAUCACUUGCUAUAUCAUGUCUCCCAUUUUUCCAUGUCAGCCUCUAACCAUCCUUUCCUAGCAAACCGUUGUUUGGCUAUGUUACCGCUUUUGCUCAGCCCUUCUUAUAGCGUUGCUAGUUGCAGGUGAAGUUGAAGUUUGCUCCAUGUUGGAACAUGGAUAUGUUGGGAUAUCACAAUAUCUCUUAUUUAGUUAAUGCAUCUAUAUAUAUUUGGUAAAGGGUGGAAGGCUCGGCCUUAUGCCUGGUGUUUUGUUCCACUCUUGCCGCCCUAGUUACUGUUAUACCGGGAUUAUGUUCCUUGAGUUUGCGUUCCUUACGCGGUCGGGUGAUUUAUGGGACCCCCUUGACAGUUCGCCUUGAAUAAAACUCCUCCAGCAAGGCCCAACUUUGGUUUUACCAUUUGCCGCCUAAGCCUUUUCCCCCGGGUUUUCGCGAGCCCGAGGGUCAUCUUUAUUUUAAACCCCCGGACCGGUGCUCCUUCGAGUGCUGGCCCAAACCGAGCGAUGUCCGGCGCCCCCUGGGCAACCAGGGUCUAUGCCAACCCCACGUCUGGCUCAUCCGUUGUGCCCUGAGAACGAGAUAUGUGCAGCUCCUAUCGGGAUUUGUCGGCACAUUCGGGGGCUUUGCUGGUCUUGUUUUACCAUCGUCGAGAUGUCUUGUAAACCGGGAUUCCGAGACUGACCGGGUCUUUCCGGGAGAAGGUUUAUCCUUCGUUGACCGUGAGAGCUUAUGAUGGGCUAAGUUGGGACACCCCUGCAGGGUAUUAUCUUUCAAAAGCCGUGCCCGCGGUUAUGAGGCAGAUGGGAAUUUGUUAAUGUCCGGUUGUAGAGAACUUGUCACUUGACCCCAAUUAAAAUACAUCAACUGCGUGUGUAGCCGUGAUGGUCUCUUCUCGGCGGAGUCCGGGAAGUGAACACGGUCUGUGUUAUGCAUAACGUAAGUAGGUGUUCAGGAUCACUUCUUGGUCAUUGCUAGAUGACGUCCGUUCCGUUGCUUCUCUUCUCGCUCUCUUUUGCGCAAGUUAGCCACCAUAUAUGCUUUUGCCGCUGCAGCUCCACCUCUUUGCACCACCCUUUCCUAUAAGCUUAAAUAGUCUUGAUCUCGCGGGUGUGAGAUUGCUGAGUCCCCGUGACUCACAGAUUCUACCAAAACAGUUGCAGGUGCCGACGAUGCCAGUGCAGAUGAUGGGGUCGAUCUCAAGUGGGAGUUCGACGAGGAACGUGGUCGUUACUAUGUGUCUUUUCCUGAUGAUCAGUAGUGGAGCCCAAUUGGGACGAUCGGGGAUCUAGCAUUUGGGGUUGUCUUAUUUUCAUUUGGAUCUUGACCGUAGUCGGUCUAUAUGAUUGUAUUUUGGAUGAUGUAUGAUAUUUAUUUAUGUAUUGUGUGAAGUGGCGAUUGUAAGCUAACUCUUUAUCCCAUUCUUGUUCAUUACAUGGGAUUGUGUGAAGAUGACCCUUCUUGCGACAAAACCACUAUGCGGUUAUGCCUCUAAGUCGUGCCUCGACACGUGGGAGAUAUAGCCGCAUCGUGGGCGUUACAUAGGGCUAUCUGCAGAUUCUAGUAGUGCACGCACCACCUCGUGCACCACGAUCUAGCCGCCACCACCACCGUUUGCGCUUCAUCCUGCCGCGCCCGCGGCUCGGUGAGCAUUGCCUCUGCUACGGCGGCGGUGUCUUAGAGCCAGACGAGGCAAUCCUCCGAUGUCCUCUGUCGCUCGACAUGCCCGCCGAAACGUGGCUCUAAUGCCAAUUGUUUCCCGGAAAUCAGCUCACUAGAGCUCCUCUCGUCUCUCGAGCUCUCUCUCCUCUCUCUCACACACACAGGCGCGCAUGAGAGAGAUGGUGCACUGCUAGUCCUGGCCAUCUCAGGCCCGGCCCUGUCGGCCCACCCAGGCCCGGCCCUAAAAUCCAGGGCCUAGGCCUGAUGGGCUUGCCCAUGGGCCGGGCUUGGGCCUGAGUUUUGAGCCCACCAGCAGGGCCUGAACGGGCUUGGGCUUGGCAUAUUGGCAUUUUAAGGAAGAGGCCCGGCCCACGGCCCUAAGCCCUAAGGGCUUUUCAGGGCUUUUUACCAGAUGGGCCGGGCUUGGGCUUGAAAAGUAGGCCCAAUGGUAGGGCCUGGGAGGGCCUGGGCCUCAGUUUUCUGCCGUGGGCUUUUUCAGGCCCGGCCUGGCCCGGCCCAUAGCCAAAUAUAUGCACUGCCCACAAUUCCUACAUGUUUGUGCCAUCCCACGAGCGAAUCAUGUGCGCCAUGAUAAUGGCUCAAACAGGUGAGCCUACGAGCUACUCCCAUGUGCACCAUUUUAUAGGACUCAAAUCUCAUCUAGCAAGGCAUUUUGUGAGUGGAGGAAUGUAUCAUGCAGCUUAGCCACUAGUUGAGUAGGAACAUUAUAUGUGUUUUUUUUAUUCUUGCAUGCAAAGAUUCAAUGCGCAUUGAAAACUAAAAAUGAGAUGGAGAUGAGCCCUCUAAAUUGGAAAAUCAAAAGAGUUGAGAUAAACCUUGUAACCAGAAAGGAGGGAGUAGAAGGUAGCUGUCCGCCAGCGGAGUUUCCAAAGCCAGUGAAACAGGGGAGAAGGCAUAAAGUGAAACACAAUUUCGGUUAUGAUGACUCGACGAUUUAGAUUCAUCCAUCGCGUCGCAACGGCUCAGAACUUUCCCGUCAACUGGAAGGAAGCCAAAGCGAUUUAAGUUCAGUUAUCCUUUGGCAGACAGUCUUAUCUGCGAUGUAAAAUUGNNNNNNNNNNNNNNNNNNNNNNNNNNNNNNNNNNNNNNNNNNNNNNNNNNNNNNNNNNNNNNNNNNNNNNNNNNNNNNNNNNNNNNNNNNNNNNNNNNNNNNNNNNNNNNNNNNNNNNNNNNNNNNNNNNNNNNNNNNNNNNNNNNNNNNNNNNNNNNNNNNNNNNNNNNNNNNNNNNNNNNNNNNNNNNNNNNNNNNNNNNNNNNNNNNNNNNNNNNNNNNNNNNNNNNNNNNNNNNNNNNNNNNNNNNNNNNNNNNNNNNNNNNNNNNNNUAUAACCCAAUGCUUGAGGAAGGGGAAGCCAAGGACUAUCCUUAUCAAUCCAAAUCCCGCUAAGAUCCUGACACCAAGUGUUAGAGUCGACGAGCAAACAUCCCACAUGUAGCGGCACUGCGGCAGCAUGGCAACAGCACUGGCAGGCACUUGCGAAAUCCUUCUUACCACCGGAAUCAGCCACCAUAAAUAUGACAUAAAUCGGAAGAAAAGUAUGCAAGAAUACAAGCCAGAUAAACUUAUUUGAUUUUUUAUUUAUAUAUAGCAAACAUGUGACUCACUUGGCUUGUCCUGCCAAGUUAUUAGGCAUACUAUCCUAGAAAUGUUUUUGCGGUCCCAACAAUCCAUUGAACGCUUCCCUAAGGUGAAGAACUGAAGAUGUAGGAUCUGAGGUUUCUCGGGAAUAAUAAAGAUUAAAAGAUGAACUAAACAAUAUCCAAGGCAAAAGAAACUACUGCAAAAAAAGGUGGGGAGGAGAUGUGCUAGAAAAAUGAACUAAACAAUAUCGCAGCCGAGCGAGCAGACCAAAUCAGCUUGCUA